rnacentral:lncRNA from 1 species
UGUAUGAAUGAAGUGGGAAUAGGUAAUUUUUUUUUUUUUUAGAGAUAGUUAGCACGCUACUCGUUUUGUUUAUUCUAUUUAAAAAUAAACUUAGCUGAAAACGUGAAUCAACUAGAAUUCGAACUUGGGACCUCGAGUAUUAACUAUUAACCAGCAAGUUCUUUGCCAUUUGCUCUAGGGACGGCCGGUGAAUAGGUAAUAUUGUUGAUCUCAAGGCCUUGCAGUUAAACAUGCUAACUCUUAAUAUCAAAUCGCUCCUCCAUCAAAAUAUGCAAAAAUAGAAGUUUCCCCCCUCCUUUUUUUUUUGGGCUUACUUAUAAAAACCCUAUGUACUUUACCCUAUGCCUCAAGUAUCCUCCUGUAUAAAAAAAAAAAUUAAGCAAUGUCAAUUUUGCACUUUAAUUUUGUCUCAAAAAGGUCCUUUCAUUGAGUUUUUAUUGUUAAUUUUAAUAAUGACGUGUUGAGGUAACACUUUUUCAAGUCCAUUUAAAUUUAUUUAAGUAUUCAUGUGCGAGAAUUUAAAUUUUUUUAAAAUCAAAUGAUCUAGUCAUACCACGGUCAACACUUUCUUAAAUAGUUAUUAAAUCUAUUUGACACAAGAUUAAAAUGCAGAAUUGAUAUUAUUUAAAUUUUUUAUAAAAAAAAGUAUUUGAGGUACAGAAUAAUUAAAGCGCAGAAGCUAUUUUUUUAUAAUUAAGUCUUUCUUUUCCUACAUAGGACUGUAGAUGGACCCCACGCAUGCACUUGUUCUUGCUCAUGGCUAAACUCAAAACCAAAAAAAUGUCUGCUAUUAGGUACAAUGGAAGAUUCACUGCAGUAUUAUUUAUGACAUGAUAAUACACUUUAUUAUAUCUUAAACAUUAACUACUAAAUCUCAGACAUUUUUAUUAUAUUUUAAGCACAAUUAUUAUAUCUUUAAAUCUUAAAUCUUAAUCUUUUUAUAUGUAUAUGUUAACACAUCAAUGUCACGGACUUAAGCAAAAUUGUUUGCCUGGCUUAUGCGGCGCUCGUUUUUCUUCGCGAAGUGGGCGAGCCUAUUUCUCUACCUGUUAAGUUAGUACCUACUCGCCCUAAACUAAGUACAAGAAAGAGAGAGAAUUCAGAGGGUAUAUGCCACAUCUAUUUAAAGACCACUCGCCGCCGAUAAGGCAAAUAAAAGACGCCGAGUGAUACAAAGCUAUAAGGCAAAAGAGAAAGCUACGAGCUUCCAAAAAUCUUAAUAAAUGCAUCUUUUAGAAAUCUAAAAACUCUACGAAAUUCGUGACCAUUUAGCACCUGCGUCAUCAGUUUUGAGAUCCACAGAAAUACUUUUAGAAGACCAUGACAAAACCUUCGACAGUAUCCGAUUUGAAGUUUGAGCAAUUUACAAAAAAAAAAAAUUGAAGAAAAUCUUUAAGUUUUAACAUCAAGGUUAUCUUAGAGUCAAAACUCAAAGCAUUUUUCAUAUUAAAAACAUACGCAAUUAUCAGAAGGAUAUCAUUCAACUGCUCUACAUCUGAAGUGGUGGUGGGGGUGGUGGUGGUGGUAUGUGAAGGUUGCAAGAGUUGGUUUGCGUCUGCAUUACCACAACAGUAUGAUGUGGGGCCCACAUGGGAGUAGUCCUUUUUCCUUCUAGAAGCACCCAUUGUCCCACCCCCGCCUUCUAGAAGGAAAAUAACCAGCAUUAAUUACUCCACCACAGAAAUAAAAAAAAAAAAGAAAGAAAGAAAAGGAAAAAACGAUAACAAAAACAAAACCACACGUCACCAAGUCAUGUAGUAUCUUAUUCCACUUCUCUUUCGUGUCAAAACGUACUGUAAUUUAUGCGAGCAACCCCCUCAACUAUAAGCCAUUUAAAAUUUCGCCCCAUUAUGAAUUUAAUUAUCAUUUUAGGUUUGAAACAUCACCUUUUGUGCUGUUUUGUAAUUUUAUUUUUAUUUCCACAUAGCAACUUAUCGUUAUACGGAUGAUAGAAUAAUAAAAUGUAAUAUUUUAUAACUCUAUAAUUUAAUUUUAUCACUAUAGAAUAAUUUAUAAAAGUAUACCACUUUUUAUCAUUCUAAUUGUUGCACAAAAUGAAAAAGCAAAGGAUUCAUUAACACCUAUUUAACUUCAACUUUUUCAAUACAAUUUCACCUUAAACUAAUUAUUUACUUCUAUAAACCCAAUCAAAAGACGUAUUCGUGUAACUGAUGCAAAUGAAUUUGGGUUGGUGGGGCUCUUGCAUUGAUCUGUCCUGAAUAAAUUGAUAAAUAAAAAUAAAAAAUAUAAAAAAAAUAUAAUAUGUCUUGAAUUCGUCCCAUCUGCCAAGUAAAUAGAGCAAAAGACGAAAAACUCUUUUUUUUUGUUGAUCUGUACUGAUCUGUCAAAAAUUCAUAAAAAUUUCACUCUAGUUUCGAUCCGACGCGAAUGGAGCGGUAAAUAAAGGCCAAAAAUAAAAUUAAAAUUAUCAGUUUCAAAUCAGUUCCGAUCUGAUAAGUAAUGAAGGGGGAGAUGAGAAAUCUCUUCCGCCCAAGGGUCCGCCCCGUUUCUGACCCUAGCAGCUUGCACACUAUGAGAGUGCGAGUAUAUGUUUUUUUCUCUCUCUCUCCAUAUAUAAACACGUAAACGCCACAACGCACAACACUAACGAAGCAGCAAAAAAAUAAAAAAUAAAAAAAUGGAGACCAUGCUACGCGAAAAUCGCCUAUUAUUACUAUUACCGGCGAAUCAGGCGCCGACUUCAGAAGAGAACUACGACGAAUUCGGCGCCGACUUCGACCCCGCAACCGAAGCCGCCGACGCCGACGCCGACGUCUCGUGCGUCGAGGACGCAUCGGACGGUCGGGAGAGCAUCACGGCGGAGCCGUGCACGGGCGAGGAUCGUUCGGUGUACCGCGGCAGCGACGACGAUGACGAUAUCGAAAUGGACGGCUGGGAUGGGAGGAGGGGUCCGGAACGAGCGGCCGUGAUUGAAUCGGAGGAUGAUGAGGAGAGGAGGGAGGAGGAUAGGGCAUUUUGGGAAACAUGCUUGGCUUCUGGGUAUCCAUAAAAUAAAUAAAUUUAUAAAAAACUAUUUUUUAGAGAUUUAUUUUUAAAAAAGAGAGAGAGAUUGGGAUUUGGGAUUGAAGUGUUUUCUUUCUCUUUUUUUUUUUGUUUUAAAUUUGAAUUGUAUGUAAUAUAUGCAAUUGAAUUAUUUGGUUCAUUCGUCCCUAACUUAAAUUCUUUCUUUUCACUCGACAUGCACCACACCCAAUAAUCAAAAAAGGAUAAAAACAAAUUAUUAGGGACUAAAAUAAAGAAAGGGCAAAGUUAGGGACAAACGUGCAAUUAACCCUUUGUUCCGCUCGUCUCACAAGUUUAUUAAUAAAGUAUCGAGGCAAAAAAUACGGUCUGUUUGUAUCAAAGAUUCAACUGAAAAAUUCAGCACGAGUCGUGCACGAGCUAACUCACGAAUAAUAAGUUAAAAAAAAUUAAAAAUAAUAUAUAUAGAAAAUAAAUUUAUGGGAUCUUACCUAUUAGAUUUUGAUUUAAUAGUUGAAAUUUUAUAUAUAAAUAAAUUUUUUUAUAAUUGAGUUGGACUUGAUAUUUAGGUGGGACUAAAAAUUAAAUAAUAAAAAUCUGUAUUUAUAUAUGUAAUUAUUUAUUUAUAUAUUUAAUUAUAAAAUAUAUAAAUUAUAUAAAUAUAAAAUAUAUGUAUUCCAACUGUUAUCUGCACAAACAUGAAUUCAGCUCGUGUUCGGCUUGUUUAUCAAACAAGUUGAAAAUUUCAACUUGUGUUCGACUCGUUUACUAAGCAAGCGAUUUGAUUUCAAACUCAUUUCAAGCCAAAUAUGAGCUGACUCGUGAACAGCGGCUCGAUUGCCCCCUCUUAUUUUAGAGUUAGUGUCGACUUAGAUUGACAUUUUUUUUAUUUUUAAAAGUAAUAAUUAGAGUAUUUGAAUUGAUGAUUCAUAUAGUUCGAAAAUGCUCAUGAACACCGAAAAAAUUACUAUAAAACAAAUUUUAUGUUCCUUUUUAUCGAAUGCAUCAAGCGAUCUCGAAGUUUGAUGUUAAAUAUUUAACGGCUAUAUGUACGUUUCAAAUAAGUUGAGAAUUUUAUUAAAAAAUAGUAUUAGAUGUGUAAAUUUAGAGCAGCAGUUUUACUUUUCAAUAGAGGAAUUGUACCGUUUGGUUCGGGUAUAAACAAGAAUUAGCUAUUACAGGGAUAGGUACAAGUAUGGGGAUAAGAAAAAUAGUGUUUGGAUGAAAAUUGGGUUGUUUCCGAGGAUAAGAACAAUUUUAGACAGUUUUAUACAGAAAAUGGAGGUGUUGGUGGGAAUAAUCGAGAACUACUAUUCUCGGAUAAAAUAUUAGCGUUUGGAUAUAAAGGGAGGGAUAAGGGCUUAUUCCUAUCUCUAUCCUCUAACCAAACGCAAGUAUAAUUCAACUUUGAUGCAUAGUUAAAGAGUAGGGAUGCAUAUGGGGCGGAAUGGAUCAGGACGGGUAGUUUUUUUGGCAGAACAAAACAAAUCAAGUGAAGAAAAGGAUCUCGAGUCCCGCCUCCCCCUUCAUUUCUUAGCAAAUAUGUGCGGAUUUAGGAUAGAUUAUUUUUUUUUCUUAUCUUUGGCACCGGCUUAUCACUCCAAUCUGGUGAGAUCAAGUCAAAGGUUUUCAGUUUGUUGAAAAAUCGUAAAUUUUUUUUUUUAUGCCAAAGAAUAAAAAUAUUUUUUCAGCCUGAAAAUUAUUUGCUAAAAUUUUUUUCCAAGAAACUAAACACUCGUAAUAGUACUAGAAAAUUAUGAAAUUUGAUUUUUAACAACUUUAAAAUAGUAAAAAGGAUGAAUUAUGAAUUUUGAUUAUUUUCAAUAGUAAAAAGUUUUACAAAUAUGUGUUCUUUGUAACACAUUUUUGUGAACCAAAACAAAACAAAAAAAAGAAAAGAAAAUUAUGGGAAUGAUCUCCAACGUGAGACUGUUCCAUCCAUCGUUUACACAGCUUUGAAAUUCGUAUUGUUCAUAUGAUAAGCGGUGGAUAAAAUAGCCUGAACUUUUUCCGCCAAAUUUUUGUUCCUAAAAUUGCUAAAAUUGCGACUAUAUUCAAUUCAAAAUCUUUAAGGUUUUUCUUUUUCUUUAUUUUCUUUGUUUUUCACUCAAACUAACUUUCCCUCUUCUCUCGAAUGUAAUCAUCAUAAAAUUUAUAAAAAAAAAACUGCAGUAAAUGAAAACACCCAUAAAUCUCAAACUCAAAAUAUGUAUAUCUAUAGCAGAUGAAAUGGAGUAUCUAUACAAAUAAAUAAAUAAAUAAAUAAAUAAAUAAAUAAACCCAAACAGUUGUUACGUCAUACCCGAAACCCGACCCGGUCCGACCCGGCAUCGGUUGUGGAUCAAUCACCCGUCUUUGGAUGCGGGUUCAGAUACGGUUCAGAGUUGGCUUCAAUAGUUCUCAGGCCCAAUAGUUUUUGGGCUUCACUUGGGUUGGAUCGAGUCGGAUUUGAUUUAAGAUUAAACUAUCACAUUGUUGAAACAGAAUCGAUAUGAAAUUACACACCAUUGUGUUAACCAGAAAUAAAAACAAGUUAUUGCGAGUAAAAUGGAUUCGAAUUUUGGGUUGAAUUUUCGGAUGAUCCAUCAAUACAAUUUUUUUUUGUUUGUUAAGGUUGGUUUUCCGCACUGGAACUUUAUUGGGUCGGGUUUGGUUGGGCCAUUCGGUAGAAUAAUUUAAGAUAAAUCCAACAGGACCCAUUAAGGCUUCGCUUGGGAUUUGCACAUAUAGAUGCAUUAUAGAAAAUUAUUAUAUUUAUGAAACUUCGUUGAGACAGUUUAAUGAGCCGUGUGAUUCACUCUAUGCUUGAAUCUUAGAGGUCUAUUAUAAUCUAAAGAUUUUCUGCUCAAAUCUUAACACUGAAUUGGAUGGCAAAUUUAGGCGGACCCGAACCUGGACCCGAUAAAAUACCCGAUCGUCAAAAGUUAAAGCAAAAGGCCAAAAUUUGAAAUACUUGAUACUUAUCUUGUCACUAUAUUGUUUCAGACUUAUUAUGUACGUGUUUUAAUUACACUGUUGUAUGUGCAUGUAUUUUGAAAUUAUGAUAUACUAACUAUUGAGACAAACGAUUCCGCUGCACUGUCUCGAUCUCUCCCACAUUUCUAUAAAUUUUUAAAUAAUUUAAAAUUUAAAAUUUACAUUGUAGGAUUAUAGUUAUAUAUUGUAUUUUUCUAUAUUUAACAAAUCGAACCAGAGUCGGAGUCAGAGUUGGAAUCAGAGUCCUAGUCUGAGUCUGAGUCGAUAACAAGGUGUAUUUAAAGCACUAAAUUGUAGGACUUUCUGCUAGAGAUGUCAACGGGUCGGAUUCGGGGCGGGUUUGUAAAAACCCGAACCCGAACCCGACUCCAAACCCGAGACCCGAACCCGAACCCGAACCCGAACCCGAAUUUAAAAAUCCAUUAUACAAACCAGAAACAGACAAAAAUCCGAAACCCAAACCCAAACCCGUAACCCAAAAAUUUAAACCCAAAACAAUUAUAUUUUGAAAUAUUGAAAAAAGAAAUAAUUGUUUCGGGUUAUAUAUAAUACAAAAUAAAUUCGGGUUCGGGUCGGGUUCGGGUUCGGGUCGGAUACAAUCAAAAUCCAUAUCCGAAUCCAUAUCCGUCAGGUUUCUAUUUUUGAUAUCCAUAUCCGAAUCCAUAUCCAUAUCCAUCGGAUAUAUCCGUUUCAUUCGGGUUCGGGUUCGGGUUCGGAUAAAAUUUCGGGUAUCCAUACCCAUUGACAUCCCUACUUUCUGCCCAGAUAGUCCUUUCGAGAAACCCUAGCAGCCGGUGUUGAAAAUUCCAGACUGUCUUCUCUCUCGCGCCCUCCUCUCGCUGCAGCAGUACUUGGUGUUAUUAUGAGCUUUCCUGUGGCUUUUUUUUUUUUUUUCUUUUUCGUUUUGGAUGCUUUAUUAUUAAGUUCUUAUUUAUUUUCUAAAUAUUAUUCUGUAGGCACUAUGAACAUUGAUAAGCGCACGUCGUCGGAAGAUAGAAUGAGGGGUCUGAGCCCCUGGAGACACGAAAUUGAUUUAGGCGUGAUUUCUAAACUAAACUAGAUUUAUCUCUAUUUUAUUUUGGACUAAAUUAUUUUGCUGUUCAUUUAGUAGUUAUAUUCAUUUAUUUAUUUACAGAGCGUUCCUCCUUUCUCAUCACGAAAAAUACGUUCAAAAAUUCGUUUGUUAUAUACGACACGAACGCUGACUUGGAUAUUUAUUCCAAAAGAGCUGCUCUGAGAUCAUCUGAAACGGUGGUUAGUCUUGUAUCAUCCAUCGGUAAAUUUUUAUACUAUUUAUUAUUUAUUUAUUUUUAGUAUAUUUUUUUUAUUUUUUUAUUUUUGUAUUAGUUAUAUUUUGCAUCUAUUUUGUGUUGUUUUGCCUCCUAGCUAACGCUAUUUUCUACUUGACUAAUAAAUUUUUAAAAAUUUUUUUAGAUGAAGAAAUAAUUUUCUGUGCUUCCGGGACAAUCAUAGAAUGCAACAGCGGCAGUAAUGGCCUCUUUGAUGUGACCAUAUUGACGACAGCUAGUUUACUGAGAUCCGAUGUUGAGGAUAAGAUAGUAGAAAAUAUGCAGGUGGAUAAUAUGAAAUUUUAGUGUUAUUUGUAAUUUUUAAUUUUUUCUUCAUUACUUACAUAUGCAUGUGUUGUUUCAAAUAUAUCUGUGUAGAUGCUUAUUUAUCCUUAAAUCUUUUUUUUUUAAGGUAAUUGUAUACUUGUGGGAUGGGAAAUCGUACAAAGCGGAAGUUCUCGGAUACGACCCCUAUUUUAAUAUGGCGACUGUACGGAUUCGUUCAGAAGUUGCACUUAAAACUGCAGUAUUAAAAAAAGUGGACGAUUCAAUAUCGAUCUGUCCGACCGCAUGUGAUUCCAGGGAAGCUAAGGGACCGAUUCUUCGUCGACAUUCUAAAAAAUUUUGGCUUGUUCCCGGGGAUAAGGUCGUAGCCGUUGGACGGCAUCAUGAGAAGCAGCAAGAACUUAUGGUCGCUCCCGCCUUAUUUAGGUGAAAUACAAUAAUAUUUGAUUAUAAAUUUUAAACAUUUAUUUAUUUAUUUUGAAUAUUUAGUAUAAAAGUUAGGAUAUAAUAAUUAUGUGUAUGCAAUUCAAAGACGUGUUUAGAGCUAAAUUAAUUGUGAUGUUUAAAACUAAGCUUCAGAUUUUGUAUGGUUCUAUAUUAUUAUUUUUCUUUUUCAAUUAACGAUUGAGUUUUUUUUUUCUUCUUCUUUAGUGCUGAUUGUUGUCGACUAGAUUGCAAGGAGCUUUUUAGAGCGAAUUGCAAAAUUACUAAGGUGAUUACUUCUAUCUUCUUUUGUUUGCACAUAUAUGUGCAUAGUCACAUAGGUAUUCAUAUUAGUUGGUUAAGAUGUGAUAAUUAUAUAAUAAAAUUAAUUUUUUUUUUUUUUUUUGUUGUAGUCUGGAAUUGGGGGACCGCUUGUUAAUCUGGACGGGGAGGUUAUAGGAAUUAACUUUAUUGGUCGUCUAUGUACUCCAUUUUUGCCUAUUAAUGUGGCCUCCAUAUGGUGGACACAUUUUAAAAAAUAUGGGUAUUUUCCAAAUCCUUUUAUAGUGUAAUUUUAUAAAUUUGCUCUUUGUGGGAACUUUAACGAAAGCUUGCUUAGGGAAUGCUGUCGGCCGUGGUUAGGAAUGGAUAUAACAAAUUUAUAUUCUGGGCAAGUGGAUGUAUUGGAACAUAUUGUCCGAAAAUUUCCUAACAUUUCAAGAGGCGUUAUUGUUGAGAAGGUAUUUAUUUUUGAUGAAUUGUUGAUUUUUAGAACUUGCUAAAAUUUGUGCAAUUUUAAAUUAUUUUGGAAGUGAAAAUAAAAAAUUAAGACAAGCUUUCCAACAUUAAAAUACUUGUUAAUUAAGAUGUUUUUACUCUACAAAAUAUUUUUACUAAAUUAGGGUUGAACUUUGUUCUCAUCUUAAUGUUCAGACAAAAUGUUUUUACUCAACUCGGUAACAUUUAGCUUCUCCUAUUUAUACAACUCGGUAAAUAUCGUACAGUAAAUUAUUUGUAGGUUGAACGUGGUUCCCCUGCUUGUAUUGCUGGAAUUAUUCCUAACGAUGUAAUAGUUCAAUGUGAAGGAAAAAAAGUCAAGAGUGUUUUGGAGGUGAGGCAUAUUUGCUGUUGUUGUUACUAAUCUGCUAUCUCUAUUUUCAUUUAUGUGUAAUGCUUAAAUUUUUUUCAAACUUGCCUAAAUAUCUUUUUCUUUUUUUUGUUGGUUUAUGCUUUUUUAAUUUUUGUCCUAGUUAUUCAAAAGAAUUUAUCAUAAGAUUGGACAAAAAGUAGAGCUUGAUGUGAUAAGACCAUAUGAUGGUGCUUAUUUGAGUGUUUCUAUUCUGGUCGAUGUGGCUCCGCGAGUGAACCGGUAAAGUUUUUUUCUACCCAUAAGUAUAUAUGUUUUUGAAUAUUUAAAUAAAAAAAUAUUUUUUGUUCAAAGUAUAAAAAUAAAAUUAUAUGAAAAUAAUAAUUUAUACUUAUUCUGCAUUUUAUAUGUUUUUUGAUUUUUUAGGUGGCCGGUUCCGAUGGCUCGUCGAAUACAAAAAAGAAGACGACAGGGAUAAAUAAAGAUAUCAUUAUGUGGAGAAAAUUAUUUUUUUGGUUUUAUUUUGUGAACGUUUUUAUCUUUUAGUAUAAUGUUUUUUUAUUUAAGAAUACUUUGGUUUAUGUUAUUUAAUAACUUUGCACGCCCAUUUCAAGUUUGCUUGGAUAUUUGAUUUUUGAAAACUGUUGAAGUUAGGUAGGAUUACGUUUGAUUCUUCUAAUCUCAUUAUAUGGUACCCGUUGCUUAUCUAAUUUAGACUGCAAAGCUUAUUGGGUAUCACCACUGUAAUUAAUACUUUGUGUGGGAAGCGUUUUUUGAAUAGUUUAUUAGAAUCAUCAGAGCAAUAUCUUGGAGGCGUGCAGGUCUGUCAUGCUGGACUGGAAUUCUCGGACCUGCAAGCGCACGAAUGGUAUUUAUCUAGUCAGCAUUUCCAAUAAAAAAAAAAAUCAAAUUUACAUUUAAAAUUUAAAUUAGAAUUUUAAUUUUAUAUAUCAUGCAACUGUAAGCAUAGUUAGCAUAAAUGCUGACUAGCCAGCCUAGGAUUCAAUUCCAUGUCUAGUCUCUUUGGAAAAAAAAAAAAAAUUUCAACCUAGCCUUAUUUUGAAAAAAAAAAAUUCAGAAAAGAAUUUUCAAUCUAAGCUCAUUUUGUUAAAUUAAAGAAAUAAAGCAUAAUUUAGUAAUAAAUAUGUGUUAAUUAGGAGAAAGAGAACAAUUUUUUUUGAAAGAAAAUUUUUUCCUCUCUCCUCUCACUCCCUAACUCCUCCACCCUUCUCUUUCUAUCUCUCUCUCCCCCACCCCAGAACCCCCAUUCUCUCUCUCUCUCUACCCCUCUCCACUCUCUCUCCCUACCGCGCACACGCACACUCUCUAUCCCCAUGCUAUAUCUUUAAUAACUAGUGUAGGAACCCGCGCGAUGCGGUGGAUAUAAUCACAUUUGAUUAAAUUUAAUAAUAUAAAAAAUACUUUAAAAUUUUUAGAAUAAAAUAAUAAUUUAAUAAAAAAUAACGAAAGAUAAAAAAAAUUAUAGAAGAAAAAAAUAUGUUACAUAGAAAUCGGACCCCUUUGUAUUCUCAUUUAGGGCAUUCUCUACUAACACCGAUACUUUCGUGAAAUAUCAUAGCGCCUUCAACCCUUUUUCGGCAAGUCCUAUACAUUACAAAUAUAAGUGGUCGACAUCGAGGAAGAAAGGUUCGAGGCUAGGGUUAGAGUUCGACUCACUCGACGUUAACGGUGAGAGCGAGGGCGGUGCGCUUGCGGGCUCGAGAGGAGCGGAUGUAGUAGGCGAGGUUGUUGUCGAGAACGCCAUUUGCCGUGCCCACAGGCUUCUCGGGCAACGAUUCUUAGAAAAUAGAAACUAAUGAAAGGAAAGUUGAAAUAGCGACGUUACAAAGAAGAAAUUAUGAGAUGGGAAGUCGAAAAGACAUACGUUAUAAAAUAAAAUUAAUAAGACGGGAAUGCGAAGAGGUAGACGUUACAGAGAAGGAAAACCGAAGAGACCGCUUAGCCAUUUGGUUCAAAAGAGGGACAAGUGAGGGUGAAAGAUAGACUGCCACGUGGUAAAAUUAGGAGAAAUAAUGUUAAGGUAUAGAUAAGUAGAGAGAGAGAGACUGGGGAUGGAGUUGGGGAGGGGGAGACAGGAGAGAGAAAGAAAAGUAUUUUUAAGUAUUUUUUUUUUUCAGUUUUUCGGUUUGGUUCUAAAAGAAACAAACUAUUUUAGAAAGUAUUCAUUUUUUCAGAUUUUAUUGACAACUAGAAUUUUUUUCUAAAAAAUAUUCAGCAAACUAAAACACUAAUCCUUCAUGAAAUUUGAAAAAAAAAAAAAAACAUUUCAAAAACAAUUAAGUUUUUUUGGGAACCAAUCAGGAGAGGUUUUCCACUGCAAGGCUUCUAAAUCAUCAAUCGGUUACAUUAAACUUAAUAUAAAAUAUUUACAAUAUUUAAAAAAUAAAUUUUACUAUUUUUAGAUAUUACAUACUUAGCUACCAAAUAGGUACAAAAUUAACAAUUGUAAUAAUGACCAAUGAAAGAAGUUUGCAAAUUUAACGAUGCAAAAACCAAAUAAAAGUUUGAUAAAAAAAAAUAUAUGUAUACUAUUUAAGCCAAGAUCAAUGUUGAUAUUUUUAUUUUUAGCUGUUAAGUUCAAAUUAAUUUUUUGAAAAGGCAAGAAAUGCUGAUAUAUGCAAAAGCCUUCUAGAGCCAAGGCACGGGGCGCGCACAUGCAGGUGCUUGCCUCAAGAAGGUGGUGAGUUGCAAUUCCAAUAAAAACAAAAUUCUUAAUAAGUCUAAAUUUAAAUUGAUAUUUUAUAUAAAAAAUUUCAAAAUAGUCAAAUAUAAAAAAAAUAAUCACAAAAAAAAUAAUCACAGGCAUAAAUAUUCUGAAACUAAAAAUAUAAAAAAAAAGUUUCAACUUCGAACUUAAAAGCGAAGGAACAAGAGAAACGGAAAAAAAAAAAAAGAAAAAGGAUUCAAAUUAGAGAUUCUUUUUUUUCAAUCCCUUGACAUAUUAGAACAUAUAGUUAAAAAACUCACGACCCAAAAAAUCCAAAUCUUAAACUCAUUAAAUUCAAACAUACGUGUUUAAGGGGCGUGUCCCUCAAAGCCUAAGCGCGCGCGUCUCAGAGAGGGCACUGCACCUCAGCUGGCCAGAGGCGCUGAGGCACGCGCCUUUUCAAAGGCUGGUUUAAACCCUCUUGCUCGCUAGAUAAAUAAUAUUAAAAAUCAUAAAAUUUACCUUCUAGACCCUUCAAAUACUAUAAAUCAAGUUGAUUUCUGACAAAAUCAACUGUCAAUUCAAGUCCCGUCAUCUAAAAGAGCUUGGGAGCAUGAAGGCCUCUGUGUUUCUAUAAGCAUCCCAGCUAUACUUUGCCUUUAAUUCAGUGUACUUAAACUCUACUCAAGCCCUUUUCUUUUUCCCCCUCUCCAGAAAAUAAUUAUCCUCAAACCCUCAAACACUGAAUUAUUCCAUCCGAACAACAAAGAUUGUCAUUUUGAAGAUGCAAAAGUGGAAGAAAAUUUAAUUAGUAACAUGUACAGUAAAAUUACAUUAGUACAUAUCUGAGGUACAAAACUCAAAGCAGAUAAGAGCAUUAACUUAAGCAUUGGCCUUUGUUACAAUAAUUUACUCACUUAAUGGUUUCUAAGAACAGUGUAGAUCCAACAAGUAAGCUGCGCAAAUCGCUUAACAGAACGAGAAACAAAAGCACUUAUAAUCUUGAUGUAGCAGCUUCUAAAGCAGAUCAUUCAUAACCAACAUAAAAACAAAUCAAAAUCUAGAAAAUUUUCAAGAGCAAUUUGAAGCUACUUGGAAAUGCUUACCUCAGAAACCAGGAUGUUAUCCUCCUCAAAAUUGAUUACUCUAGUAUGUUUUCGAAAUUACUAGAAAAUGUUAUCAGGAACUGCUGAAUACCUGCAGAGGAAUGGAGCAAAUUCAAAUUGAUUCAAAAGAUAACUGGAGCUUUUACAUAAUUUACUGUACUGAUAGAGAAGCAUACCCCUGCUAAAAUAUUUUUUGAUAGCUUUGGUUUACUUUUGCCACUAUCUGAAACAGGACGGUUUUGAGGGACCUGGCGAAUGACUUUCGGUUCCAGAGCUUUAUCAGAUUCCUCUCCAGUUUUCUGCUUCUGUAGCAGGCACCCAAAUUUUGAAAUGGGUUCAGCUCAAAAGGGAAAAUAAUAAAAAAAGAGAACUUCAAGCUAGACAUUUACUGCUAUCAAAUAAACUGUCUUAGAUACGCUGAAUCCGAAAAUAAUGAACGAAAGCAGAUGCGGGGCUUUUCCACUAAACACUAGCAAUGCACUCUUGAUUGAAAUUCUUUUGGUACCGUAUCAAUUUCAGCACAGUAGUGUUCAUCGCUGCAGUUUCCAAAAGAUGCUUUUACUGUUUCAUUGAAAUAUGAGCUAGUGGAAUGAUAAUCUUUGAGUAGCAUGAAUUAAUUGUUUAACUAGAUCUGCUAAUUCCUGUAAUAACCCCAACUUUUUUCCUUGCAGACAUCAGUCUUAUGUAAUCAGUCUAAAGAUAACUACAUUGGUUCUUUUUUCUCGUACGGCAAAUAAACAAAAGAAAAAAGAAAUCUCGAUGACAAAUAGAGUAAUUGAUAUGCCUUCUGAGAAGUACCAAUAUGUUAGAUUUUAAAUAUAAUUCUGCAAUGAAUCAGGAAAUAACUACAGAAUAAAACAAGGCAACAAUAUCUAGCAGAGGAUAGAGCAUACAAACCUUCUUUCUGCGUUCUUGCAUAUGUUUCAAUGCAAUUGAUUUUUCAACUUUAGACAAGUAGAAAUCACGCUCCCUCUUUGCAGCAGAUAUUUCCAAGUUUAGUUUCUCUUCCCGAAUGUGGUUCCUCUCAGCUGCAUUUGGAUUUCACAAGUCACUCACACAGAAAUAAUAUGCAAGGAUUGCUGUGCAAAACACUGAGUGGUCCAGAGGCUUCACAAUACCUAUUUCGCUAAUCAGAUCAUCCCAUUUGAAUUUACUAAGAUACUUGAUGUUCCAAAUGUCAUAGUAAAAAGAAGACCUCUUUCUCCCACCUAACAAGAAACAAAAUCAACCACGGAGUAAGAUUCAUAAGAUACAAUGCUGCAGAGGAAUAGAUAAGGGAGGUUGAGAUAGCAAGCAUGCGGUGGAAGAAGUAACCGUAAGGUUGAAUACUCUAAUUUCUAUAUCGGCCCAAAAGAUAGCCAUUUCACUAAAUACUAUCAUUCUUUUCCAUCAAUUAAGGGAUGCUUAAGAAUCAAACUGCAACGACUGAGAUAGCUCAUGAAAGGAAAUUCUUUUGAACUUCUUAUUAAUUCUUUCAUUGGGUAGGUCAUGGGUCGUAAACUUGACAUCUUAAAAGGAAAGAUGGAAGAUAAUGGACAUUCUCUGAGGGUAGACAUCAUGUGGAAAUUAUAGAAAAGUAGCCCAACAAAAAUAGGGGAUGCAUUAAGUAAUAUCAUGAAGGGGCUACGUCUAGACAGAAUAUGAAGCUAUAUUGACGGGGAGAUCUUUAUUAUAUUUAUCAACAGGGAGAUGUUGAUUACAGUUCCAAGAGUAAGUUUUGUGCAGUAAAAUCGUUCAGCAUCUCAAGAGUAUAUUAACUGGGCAUAAUAUAAGUACAUAAAACUCUUCAAAUACAUGAUUAAGAUAAAAUGCAACAUAAUAAAAACCGAUGUUUCAUUAGAUUGCUAGAAGAGGCAGGCAUGCUUGAAUAUGAAUAACUAAUGAUGACAGGAAAAUGCAUCCCCAAAGAUACAACUAUCUCUUAAUGACUACUACAGUUUAAAGGCUUACCUAUUUGUUCACCGUUAAGCAAAUUUGCAACUCUUUUGGCAACACUUUUUUUCGUAAAUUCAACCCACCUAUAAUAGUUACAUACCAGACAGGGCAAACGAAUAGCUUAUUAGAACAAACAGAAUAGAUUCUCUUCAAACAGGUAGCAGAUACAAGGCACCAAAACGAACUAAGCAGCUAGGAUACAUCAAGGAUAAUUACUAUUUUUUACUUCUCCAUUGUCUGCAGAGAAACCUAAAACUUCAGUUAUAAUAUAUGUGAUGCUUCAAUAACCCACUAGAAAAUAAAGAUGAUUAAUGCGCUUGUAACUGUGAAUGAUGUACACUUCCAUGACAUUAGCUUUGUUAUGCAAUGAAUUUUAAUUGACUGUUUGUCCAAGUGGAAAUUCGUGUAAUACUAUUUGAGUAAGGCUGUGAAGAAGUCUAACAUAUUCUUUAUCAAAUCCUCUUGACAACUUCAAACCGAUUAAAAAAGCAAACUAAAAAAAUACAAUAUGCGCUUUGGAAUAUCGAAGCCCAUUUCAACAUUGUGCUCUAGACAAAACUCUUAGACAGUAUAUUUCUGCCAAACCUAUCUCAAGAAGAGAAGCUAUUUUAGCAGCCAGGGUUCAUAUUUGAAGCAAAACCCUCCACAAAUAAAGCUUGAUUGUAGUUAAACGAAAGCUUCAUAGUAUUUGAAUGAUACCUGACAGUGCUUCUCCUAGACUAAAGAAGUGAAGUUUCCCUUUAACGUCUCAACUAAACCAACAUUCCUGCCCAACUUUAAAUCAUCCCAAAUCAACUUAAAGUGGUUUGUAAUAAUUUUCCACUUGGGAACUCCAGGACUAAAUUUAAAGAAUGUCCCUUAGGUCUGUUGCCAAAAGAUUUGAAGUUACACUUUAGCAAAGAGAAAUAACAUGGGCUUUGUAAUAAUAAAAAUAGCGAGAAACAACAGGGAUUUCCAAAUUUUACCCCUCAGAAAACUCCUUUCCUCUGAAGCCACCAGCUUGCUUACGGUGUACUUGAGCACUGGGAUCUGCCAUUAGAAUUUAUCAUAUCAGGUCUAGUCAAUGUUUGAGCAGCCACUACUAGAAAACCAACCGGACUUGACUGUGGGACUGAAGAAGCAAUUUCAAUAAGCAAACUUUUACACAACAUACUAGAUAAGUAGAUAUUAAUAAUAAUUUCAAAAGUAAUCGAUAAACAUUUAACUUUGUCACCCCAUCUGAUUGUAUGUAUAGAUACCACCCCAUCUAAUUGUAUGCAUCUUAGGAGUCCAUAAAUUUAUCUAUCAUGUCAAGAGAAAAUAAAGUUGGAAACUAGUCAAACUACUAGUUUGUGAGGGUGAAAAUUUGCGUGUCAAUACGAAAGCUAGUUCCUAGUGAAAAAACAGAGAAAGACAAAACAUAACUAAUAUGAAAGUACCAACUAUUCAUUAUGUUUGAUUUCAACAAGAAAUAAUAGGCCAGCAGUACAAUAAUAGUUCAUAGUUUCAACCUAAAUAGCACUUUAACUAUGUAUGCAUUGAGCCCUUGAAGUAAAUUAUAAUUCAUAGUCCAAUUCCACAAUAUCAUUAUUUGUAGUCCAUAUUGUCUUCUGGCAUUGCAUAUUAAAACCUCCUCUACCACAAGUAAACAGAACAAGGUAAUUAAUUAAUCAUGUAAGACAUGCGCAAGAUAAUUAAUCAAACAUUAUGCCUCUCCAUCUGUCCUGCAAAAUCAUUUUGUAGAAUGAUAGAGCCAAAGUAAUUGACAUUCCUUCUCUCACAACAGAAACUAUAUUUUAAUGAUAUCUUCGCUUCUGGGGAACUUUUAUUGCAAUUGACAGCAACUAAAAGAUAAAUUAGAUAAUAAGACCUACAUUUAUUCUCAAAAACAAUUUAAUAAUGCACGUCAGAAAAUAUAAAUGGCAAGGCCAACGAUAUGAUUACCUUCGGGAACAAGAUAUAUUCUCUGUAUAUCUCCAAAUUUAGAGAGGAUCAGACGGAUGUGAGAUGGGUUCAUGUGUGGGGGAACUCGGCUCAAAUAACAAACUCCUCGUCUAUCUGCACCACUUGAAUCUUUACGAGAUCGCUUUUUCUUGUUUUUCCUCUUCAAAAGUUCUCCUUUUCCACAUUUGUCCCCAUCAUCCACCAUAUGUUGUUCUUCUAGAUGAGUAUCAUCAUUGUCUUGUUCCACAGCCUCGGCCAUGCACUUUGACAGAAAUUUUCUGGAGGUCAUUAACACACAUCUACUAAAUUUCUCGAACACCACUAUACAAAUAGAUAAUGAAGAGAUGCUAAAGAAGGCGUGUUGAUAUAUGGGAAAGCUGAUGAAUUAGCAUUCACAAAUCUAGUUAGUUUGUGAAUAAAGUUCGGUGGAGAAGUUAAGAUAUAUUUGAAAGCGCGACAUUGGAUACUAUUAAUAUAAUAAGUCACGGAGAGAUCAGGUAAUUUUCCCAUGACUGAUUAGACGCGCCAAUUCUGUAAUAGUCAGGCAUAUCAAACCUCAAUUAAAUCCGAUGAUUGGCUUAUAGGAAUAUCUAAUCUAGUCGAAGCAAAAGGUGGCAUGAAAUUAGGUUAAAGUAACCCUAAAACAAUAAACAAAAGGAUGAAUUUGCUUAACUACAAGUGACUUCACUUCUUAGCGCUAUUUCUUGAAAGACACAACCACAUCAUUCUGCUCGCACUCAAUGAAGAUGAAAAGCAAGUUUCGAUAAUGCUAGAAUAGAUAUAUCAAGGUCUUAACUGCCCAUCAGUAUGGGCUGUGCCGGUCUUACUCUCACCAUAUGUGCUGGCAAGAUAUCGGCAUGAUACGACCCCUGUACUGGUGGCACGACUCGACAUCUUUCUUUUUUUUUGAAAUUACCAAAUAGUUAUUUCAAUAAAGUGCAAAAACUAAUAAAGAUAUAAAAUAAGCAAUUAGAAUACAUCGGUUCCAAAAAUAAAUAAAUAUUUUAUGUUAUAGUGUGCUAGCAGAGAGGUAUUUUUAUGGUGAGCACACAUUAGCAUCUUAGGCAAGAACCCCCCGUGCCACAGCACUUAAAUUCUUAAAAUACAUUAUAUCUAAUCAUAAUUUGGACCUUUUUUUUGCUCUUAAAAUAGUAAAAACUGUUCUGACAAUAUCAAUUCGCUAUGUAUAACUGUUCUGACAAUACCAAUUCGCUAUUUUUAUGCAUGCAAACGCAGGACCGGAGAGAAAGCGACCAUAAACUGGUGGAGAGCGAUUAGAGAUGACGAUUCUAAUUAUAAAAAUCUCAAUAUUGUAUACAAACCCUAAUCAAACUUACGUACACAUGUACACUAAAAUUGCACACACACCACCAAAUCGCACGAUUCCUACUUCGAUAAGGAGAUGGAGUGGAGCAGAGAUCGAACCAGGUGAGGAUACUCGGCGACGAGGAGAGCGAUCGAUCGAUCGAUCGAUCGGAUUAAGCUUCGAAGCGUCGGUGAACGCGAAAGGUGGCCCCCAAAAAUUAGGGCUAAACUCGAACGAGCGAGUGGGAGAGGAGUAUACUGCUGUGCUGUUUCGGCGCGUCCACACUAGGGGUGAAAAACGGAUCGGAUAUUGUCGAAUAAACCAUACCCGCAUCCAUAUAUUUCUUUUCGAAUACGGAUUCGGAUACAAAUAUAUAACGGGUGCCAAAUUUUUAUUAUCACAUCUGCUAAAAAUAGAUUCGGAUAUAGCCGGAUAUUUUUUAGGAUUCAAAUAUGGGUUGGAUAUUUAUAAUAUAUAUGCACAUACACAAAAAAAAUAUAUUAUUUAUUUUUCUACCUUGUUUCCUAAAUAUAUUUCUUUAUAUAUAAAAUAGGAUUAAUUUCUUACAGAUUCCUGCAAAUAUAGUGAAUAAAAAAUAUAUCUCUAUAAUGUUCAACUUUCAUAUGUUAUCUCUACAAAAGUUCUGAUAUUUUCAAAUAUGUCCCUCUAAUUUAUUACCGUUAGAGAACUGUUUAUAUUUUUAAUUUUACCAUCACAAAUAUAUCCCUCCAAACGUCAUAUUACUGUUAGAGAACUGUUUAUAUUUUUAAUUUUAUCAUCAUAAAUAUAUCCCUCCAAACAUCAUAACAGUAUAAUAUAAGGGGGUAAAUAUAUCAAAAACUAAUGAGAGUUAAGUAUCUAACCUAUGGUUAACUAAAUUUUUCUAACGAAUUCUGACGAUAGUGGUAUAUUUGAAAAUAUUAAGAUUUUUAUAGAGACAGCAUAUGAAAGUUGAAUUUUGUAGGAAUAUAUUUAUUAUUCACUAUAUUUAUAAGGACGUGUAUGAAAUUAACUCUAUAAAAUAUGUAAUUUUAAUAUAUAACUCAUUAUAAAAUAAACAAAUAACACGAAAAAAUCAUCUUUUUUUUUUUUUACAACAUGUGUUAAUCAUCCUUCAUUGGCAAUAAAUUAGAGGGAAGGAAUUUGGGCGGGCUGAGCAUGCGAAAUUGAGCCACGUGGAUAAAAAAAUAUAAAGAAUAUAAAAAUAGAAUUGAGUUCCUAUGCUUUUAAAAGUAUCAAGUUAUUGAUGCUCGUAAAUUUUUGGCCCUUAGAUGAAGAAAUAUGCGGUUAGGAUGAUGUGGGCCCCCUAGGGUUGAGUGGGUGGUUGGUUGAAUAGUAUAAUCUAACGGGUGAAAAUGAUCAAAGGCAUAAAUCAAACGGUAAAAAACUCACAAGCACCAAGUACUUGGUGCUUUUACAAGCACCAUAGCCGGACUCUAUAAAAAUAAUAAUAGUUCGGAUAUCCAUAUCCAUAUCCAUUUUUUCGGAUAUCCGAAAAAACUUCACUCUCUAAAACCAUAUCAGUAUCCAUAUCCGACCAGUGGAUGUUUUCUAUCCGGAUCCGGAUAACAUCGAACACGAAUACGAAUGGAUAUUUUCGGAUAAUAUCCGAUCCGUUUUCACCCCUAGUCCGAGCCCUCAUUUUCUCGGAUUAAAGCGGGCCGGAAGUGGGUUCGAUUGGACACGGGUUUAAAUCCGGAUGAUGGUGUGUCGGGCCUUCCGCAGGCCGGCCCGAAUGUUACGGGCUUAAGAUUUAGAUUUAAAUCUAAAUCUAAAUUGAAAAUUUAAAUUUAGAUUUAAAAUUUUUAAUUUUAAAAUUUUAAACUUCAGAUUUAAAAUUUCAAAUUUAUAUAUUAAAUUAAAAUUUAAAAUUUAAAAUUAAUAUUUAAGAUAUAUAUUUUAAAUUUAAAUUCAAAUUUUAAACUAUUUUUAAGUAAAAUUCAGUAAAAAAAUUAUUAUAUGCAAACAUCAAAAAAUUUUGCCAAAUAACUUUCUAAAAUUACUUCAGAAAAAUCGUUUUUCAUACAAACUUAGUCAAAUGCUCUACAGAUUUUAAUCAAAAUCAAUUAUGUGGAAAUUACUUUUCUCGAAUUUAGGCCAAACGAAUCCUAAUACGCCUAUAGGUGAUGGAAAAAAGAGAUUCAAAGCCAAAUAAUUAUGGAUAUAUUAAUUAUGAUUUUUGUUUGUCAGACACGGCACGGCACGGCACGGCAUGAUCAAACCAGCAGGCUACCAGCAGUCUUACACCCCUAGGUGAUGGGGAAAGAUAUCAAAACCUAAAUAUUUAUAGAUAUAUUUAUAAUUUUUGUGAUCUUUUGAACUGAAUCCAAAUUCGAAGUUGAUCUGAAAAAUAUCAUAUAAAUCUAUAUAUACUUGUUUAUAAGUAUAAUGUUACUCUUUAAUUUUCUAGACUAUGAAUCAGUAUUAAAUGCACUCUCAUGAGUUUAUAGAUAUUUCAUAUAAUAGUUUUCAAUCAAAAUAUUUAAUGUAAAAUCUUUUAUUUAGUUAUUAAUAAUCUGAUUCUGUAUCUGAAACUUACCGAAUAUGUGUUUGAGAUUUUACUGUUCGACUCGAAUUUGAGUUCGGAUUUGGAUUCGAAUAUCGAGUUAGAUAUAUUUUCGAAUUCAAAUUCGGAUUCAGAUACCAAAUAUCUGAAACCAAAACCGGUUUUAAUUUAAUUUCAAUAUGUAACAUUUUUAUUUAGCUCAUAUUCAAUAACAUUUUCUUAAAACUCUUAAUUUUUAGUUGAUUUUUCUAAUUCUUUAUGGAUUUUAGAAAGCUUAAUUAUUUAUUGCCAAUUUUUUAAUUUUAAUUUAAACAUUCGUUAAAUAUUCAAUUACUCUCCAUAUCUAUUCAACCCCCCGUGGUUUCGUACUUUCUCACUUUAAUAUCCUAUGAUUUAAAGUGUAUCAAGUUAGUACCUGUGGUUUCGCACUUUCUCACUUUAGUACCUUAUUGUUUAAAGUGUAUCAAAUUAGUACUCUGUGGUUUCAUUUUUGUAUCAAGUUAGUACCCUCUGAUUUCAUUUUUCUCUUUUUAUUAUCCAUUUCGGAAUAUUUUUUUCGUUAAAUUAGUGACAAAGUUAAAACUAAAGGGUACUAAAAUGAAUAUUCGAUAAACCUAGGUCGCAUAUCUGAAGUUUUUUGUAUAUAAUCUAACGAAAUAUUAAACCACAUGGUAGUAAAGUGAGAAAGUGCGAAACCACAAAGUACUAACUUGAUAUACUUUAAACCACAGAAUACUAAAAUGAGAAAGUAAGAAAUCACCAGAGUAUUUAAAAUUUUUUCUUUAAUUUUUGUCUAAAACUAAUAAUUUAGAUAUCAUUCGAGUAACAUUUGACUCAGAUUGGGCGAAUCUAAGAAUUUGGAUCGGAUAAUAUCCGAUCAAUCAUAUUUACGACCGAAAAUCACUUCAUCUGCCAGACAGACAGGCCAUGCAAUAAAUGAAUCCACCGGUUCUGCCCGGCUGCCAUUACACCUUCAUAAUUACGAUGACAAGGGAAGAAGACCAAACAAAUUAAGUUGAUCCCUCUCUCUCACGUAUGCUGAUGUCGACCUCGUACCUCAAAUUUUUGACAAAAUUAUAUCCAGGGUUUGUUUUGCAAAUAGCCCUCUUACAAAUUUUUUUUUUAAAUUAGCCCUGUCAAAAAUUUAUUUGCAAAAAUGGCCCUGGCCCCGCCACGCAAGCGCCACGUCAGCGCCACGCGGGCGGGGCUGGGACAGAUGAUUAAGUUGAACACGGUGAAGUAUUCACCGUAUUCAAUACAAAGUUUUUGUAUUGGACACGGUGAAUAGCUAAGAUCAAAAUAUUUGUAUUGGACACGGUGAACCAUUUACCGUGUCCAAUAUAAAUAAUUGGACACGGUGAAUGGUUCACCGUGUCUAAUACAAAUACCUCCAACUUAGCCAUUGUUGGGGUAUUUGUAUUGGACACGGUGAACCAUUCACCGUGUCCAAUACAAAAAUCUUGUAUUGAACAAGGUGAAUGGUUCACCGUGUUCAACUUAAACAUCUGAUCCCGCCCCGCCCGCGUGGCGCUGACGUGGUACUGGCGUGGUGGGGGCAGGACCAUUUUUGCAAAUAAUUUUUGGACGGAGCUAUUUUUACAAAUAAAAUUUGUCAGGGGACUAUUUGCAAAAAAGCCCUUAUAUCCACGUCUACAUCUAUAUACGUCAUUCCUCAAUAAUUCCAUACCGGAUAGAAAUAAAAAAAUAAUUGGAUAUAUAAAAUACUUAGACACUAAUAAUAACAACUGGACUUAAGCAAUUUAGGCCGGUGGUUGGGCUCAACGAGUUAUUAUUGCUAGUGGGCUGAAUCGUUACAAUACAUAAUGCGAAUUCAUGUGCAGAUAAAUAUCGAAAACUAAAUUUUCUUUCCGUAUCUACUUAAAAUGGAUUCGCAUUCAGAUAUAAGUUAGAUAUACUUAUUCGAAUAUUAUGCGGAUAAUAAUAUAUAUUAAUAUGUAUAUACAAAUAUGAGCUAAAAUUAGCACGAAUACGAUACACAAUGUCAUUAGAGGUUCAAACGUGUUUAAACUCUAUACACGCAUAUUUCAUUCUAUAAAAUUUAAUAUUUUAACAAAUAUAAGUGUAAUUUUAAUUAAUAUGAGAUUUAUAGUAAAAUAAACGAAGAACGCGAUAGAAAACUACUCUAAGGGGUGAAAACGGUUGGAUACGGUCGAUUUUUUUUUUUUUUAAGAAAUCAUAUUUGCACCCACAUUUUAUUUUAAAUUUUCUUUGGAUGGGAAUUCGAAUCCGAAUAUAUGUCGAGUACUAAAUUUUGAUAUCCAUAGUCACAUUUCAUGGGAAUUUAUUUAUCCUAAUCACUUUCGCCCCUACAUGGCUUAUUGUUGUUCUAUUUUUUUAACUUUUAAAUACGAAUUCUAUAUAAUUUAAUAUGUUUUAAGAUUUUUUUUUUUUUGUUAUUAUUAUAGUUGGUUAGGUUAUAGUACAUCCCGUAAAGUGGUAGAUGAUAAUUUAUUAAAAAAAAUAUUAAAAGCGAAAAUAAGCCGUUUUACGUUUGUUUGUUUGUUUGUUUGUUUGUUUUUUUUUUUUUUUUGUUUUUGUUUUUUUUUACUGUCAAAUAAACACUUUGGAUGAAAUGAUUGCUUGCAAUCCGCUGUCAACUCUUAUAUCUUUUGAUAUACAAAAUUUUAUUUAAAAAAAAUAAAAGCAAACAUAAUAUCAAACUAGGCCAAAAUCUUUGGGAGUUUUGAAUGUUAUCUUUGUUUUUUAUAAGGUUGUCAAAAAAUUGUUUAUUUAUUUUUAAAAGUUUAAGCUUUUGAAAAGCAAUAUAUACUUUAAAUUUAUAUUCAACAAAAUCUCUCACAUCUAGACUCAAAAAAUAUUUAAUUGAUUCGAAAUGAAGAUUUGAAUUAAACUUAAAAAAUUUGAAAGAAACUGAGAGCAUAGUGGAAUUCAAAAAUCAGUAUCUCUAACUCUGAUACGAUGUGAAAUAAUUAAUUUUUUUCUAAAUAUUUAAGUUGUGGUAUUUUGAAUAAUUUAUAUUUAAAAAAUUAUUGAUGUAUUAUAAAUGCUUACAAUGUUUCAAAUUAUGAGUGUUAAUACAUAAAGCAAUGCUAGGCUGCCAUAAAAAAUGAGUUAUAAUCCUACAAAACCCUAAUCUCAGGGCCAAUAUUUUUUCACUUGUCUUAUUUAUUAUUUUUUAAAAAUAAAUUAAAAGUUAAAAAGAGGUUAGUAAUUAAACUUCAAGCAUCUCGGAUGAGGCGUUGUAGGGAUUACAACUUUUUUUUUAAAAAAAAUUGUAGACUUAAUUAGCAACAUUAAUUUUCUAAUACAAAUUAACAAAAUAAAAGGGCAACUAAUAUUUGGAGAGAUCAUAGUAGUAGUAGUCUGAGCAAAUUUAUAAGACUAAAUUACAGAAAAUCUCUCUAUAAAUAUCAAUUUUUUCCACUUUCACUUCUUGACUUUCAAAAGUCUACAUUUUAUCUUCUUAAAAGUUCAGAAAUAUUUUUAGGUGGCGUUAAUGGAGAGCGUGAAAUGAUCAAAUUGUUCUUAAUUAUUUUUUUUAUAAAUUUUUUAAAAAUAUAUAUUUAUGUCAUUUUAAAUGAUAUCUUCGGUAUAAAUUAUAAAAAAUAAACGGAAUAGUGAUAAAAUCCUGAUAUAAGGGGUUACAUGCAAUAAAUUGAAAUAUUGAGGGAGUAAAAUAUAAAUUUCUUAAAAUUAGAAAAGAAAAGUAAAAAACCAGAUAGUAAUAAAAAAAAAUUCUGUAAUUUAGCCAAUUUAUAAAACAAUCUUUUAGGAGCAGACAGUCUUAUCAAUUAUGCAACAUCUGUACCGCACGAAGCUUAAAGCAGUGAAGAAUGUUCAUCAUAUGUGUCCUCUUCUUGCUAUCUUGUAUAGGCUUAAUUUGGUAUUUACUUUUCCAAAAGCACCAAAUAUUGUACUUGAAGACCAAACAAAUUCAAAAGUAUAGUGUCUUUAAUUUUUUUUCUCCUUUCAUACUAUAAAAUUGAACUAGAUAUAAAUCAUACACCUUGAGCAUCUAACAAUUUACAAAAAAAUUUUGAAAUUUUGUUUUCUUAGAAAUAAAUGUUUCGUUUUUUUUCUUUUUUCUUUUUUCUUUUUUUUUUCUAUGAAGCAACUUGAAUUCAAAACUUGAAACCUCUCAAGUAUCAAUCAUGGAGCCCAGCCGGUUUUAGUUAACUGUGGCAAGUACGGUCGGUAAUUCUUUAAAUCAUAGUAUAAGAAAAAAAAUAUUGAUACGACGAACUGAGAAUUGAAUCUCUUAUAAAAUAGGUGUAUUUGAUAACCCAUUUUGGGUGGGAUUAGCUAACUCCACUUAACCCCAUCAAAUUCCAACGAAAUACUAUUUUUUAUCAUAAUAAUCCACUAUCCUUCUUAUCCCACCUACUCCAACCAAACACUAUUUUUUACUAUUCUGAACUAACUCCAACCCCCAACCAAAUACAAAAAUACUUUAACCUCAUCUUAACUCUGAACGUAAUCCUAUUCCUGAAAUAACUAGUUUUUUCUUAACCCCGAACCAAAUGGUAACGUCUGUGGAGAGGUCAUAUCAUUGCUCUUAUCAUUUUCCCUUCUAUAAUUAGUUAACACCCUCCUCUCCAGUAUCCAAAUCCUCUCUCUCUCUCUCUCUCUCUCUCUCUCUCUCUAGUUAUUACUACCUCCAUCAUAUGGCCUCUUCCUCGAUGAUCAAGCUCUCUUACCAAAAGCUCCACAAACUCCCCACAACCUCAGAUGAUCAUGAGCCCUCUACACUAACAAAGAGAAGCAGCAGCAGCAGCAGCAGAAGAAGAAGAAGCAAUUGGCUAAGGUUAGACAACGGCGUCGGCAGGAGAAGGCGAUGGCACCGCCCGAGAGUGACGGUCGCAGGCCUGCGCAGGCUUAUAAGGAGAAAGGCGAUGGCGGUGCGCAGCGCGGUGGCGAAGGUGGCGAGGAGGUUGAAAGAAGGGCGGCCCUACGCCGCGGAGCUCUUCGCCGGAAACUACAUGUUCAUGCAAGUAGGCCCCUCACCGACGGCGACGACGACGACGACGACGGCGGCGAUGGCGACGGCGAUGAUGAUGGGCUUCUCGCAAAAGCAGUUUUCGACGAGCCACCAUGCCCAGCAACAGCACCGUGGCUCCUUCCCACAGCACUAUUCUGCAAGGUUUAGCUACUGAGGUUCCAGCUGAUAUACCAAGGAGACUAGCUGAUUAUAAGUUUAAUUAAAUAACUCUUUUCGAAUUUUGUUGAUAAGAAAAAGAGGGAGAAUAUGAUAGAGUUGUAAGGAGUUGAGCUCGGUGUAAGAGCAUUUGUGCUCGUGACAUUUUAAUAAUUGAAUUAUCUUAAGAUUUAUGCAAUAUUAUUAGUGAUAUAUAUGUCCCGUUAAAUUUUUUUGAUUAGUGUUGUAUGAAUUUUGAGACGAUCCAAUGACUAAAAAGUCACUAACAUUUAAAAGCACAGGAGUUCAAUUUGAAUUAUAAGAUUACAAUUAAAAAGCAAUUGUAGAGUACAUAAUAGGUACACAUAGGAUGUAUAUACGAUAACAUUCUUGUAUUGUUGUUAAUAUUAUUUUAUAUCAUUGUUAUUACUAGUGGGGGACCACACUUCGCAGUAGAGAGGUAAAAUAUCACAAAAUAGUUAUAUUAUUUUAUAGUUUAGAAAUUUAAACAUAAUACUAAUUAUGCCUAGUUGUAUAAAUGAAUUUGCCAUAUUGCUUAUAUACCUUUGAAAAAUUUUUGAAUUUCUGAUUAUCUUUCUUUGAAGGCUAAUAUUAAAAAUAUCUUUUCUACGUUCCAAUUUAUUUCAAAUAUCCCUCUAGAGUUUAGUUAAAUUAUGUUAAUAAACAGUUAGCAAUAGCUGUUGUCUUUAUAAAAUUACUAUUUUGCCCUUUUAAAUAUACCCUCUUACCAUCAUCGAUUUUUUUUAUUUGUUCUUAAGUUAGGGAUACAAAAAAUAUUUUAAUUUUAGAUCUUUUCAAAUGUACCCUUCUAUCAUCAUCAAUAUUUCUUACUUGUUCUUAAGUUAAAAGCAAAAGAAGCAUUUUGAUUUUUUUUUAAACUUUGGUAGAUAUUUAACUCACGUUUAACCUAAGUUAACUUAACGGGUGAUAACUAUAUGGGUAUUUUAGAAUAACGGAGGAACAUAGAAGGAUUUAUUGGAAAAAAAAAAUAAAUGAGAUAAUUUUGAAGUUUUGAGGGGUAUACAGGUAAUUAUCCCUAUUUAUAUGUUAUGUAUUAGUUAAAUGCCUAAUCAGUUUGAAACCAAUACCUAAAAGCUUGAUGCCACUAAUUUAGCAUUAGAGGUUUUAGAAAAGUACAACUCAAUCAAGCAGCGCCUGAAAAUUUCGUUGAGUUCAACAAAUUUUACAAUCAACAUGAAAAAUUUUUAAAUGAUCAUAACUUUUCUAUCCUGUGUCCGAUUUCAGCGUGUAAUUCCAAUUUAGCAAAUACGUUUUGAGAUUUACAGGACUGCACGUUCAGAGAUAAAAAUUGUACCAUUUAAAAUUAUUUGAUAUUAAAUUGUACCAUAUAAAUAGAAAUUGCAUUAUUUGAAACAAAUGUUGUACUAUUUAAAACUAUUUGAGCAUUCAUCUCAAAGAGUAUAACUUCUGUUUUAUAUGAUGUAACAUAGUCUCAUAUAAUUUUAAAUAGUAUAACUUUCGACUCAAAAAGUGCAACUUUCGCCUCAAACAAAAUAAUUUCAUCUAAAAUAAUGCAAUUUUUUCUUAUUCUUCUUUCGUCUCUACUUUUUCAUUUUCUUGUAACGGCCAUGACACAAUCUUUCCCAAAAAAGUUUUUUUUUAUUUUUUUAUUUUUAUUCUUUAUUCUUUUUUUCCACCUACUGUAUUUUUUUUUCUAUUAUCGCACCCUCUCCCUUGCCCUCUGCUGCAAUCAUCACCUCACUCGAUGCCCUCUCCAUUUCAUGGUCCUUAAAUCUUGUAGCACCCUUGUCAUUGUCCACGGUCAUACGCUCCGUCGCAUCCUCACCUUCGUAAUUUAUGCCAUAUACGAGCCAACAUAGGCAGAAGGUGUAGGCGAGGUAAAACAGCGGAACACGACAUCAAUGUAGGGGUGGUGGAGGAGGAGGAAAAGGGAUAGGAAGCGGGAGAAGGAGAAGAAGCGGCGUAGAGGUAGUCGAACUAGGAGCAGAACGAGAAAAAUGAACGAGUGAAAAAUAAAGAGAGAGAGAGAGAGAGAGCAAAGAAUAAGAGUAUUUUGAUCAGAUACUAAAAAUUCGAACCGAAUCUAUAAAAUCUAAAAUAAUAACCCGUUUUUGCAAAAACACAAAAUCGGUGAAUAUUUUAUGCAAAAAGACCAAUAGAAAAUUUUGAAUUGAUUCUACAAUUCAAAUUAAAGUUUGCAUUUAGAUUUAGAUUUAUGAAGCAAACUCAAAAUUUAAAUUUGAGUUUUGAAUCUAUUGUUUGAAUUUAAACAAAUUAUUGCUUUGAAAGGUCUACUUAACAAUUUUAUUUUUUAGACUUAAUUUGUAUCUAGCUAGUUAAUUAAUUUUGUUUGCAAUAUGUACAUAUGGAACAUUCUUUCUUUCCACUUAUGAUUCUACCAACUCAAAUUUUUUUAUCCACUUUUAUAUAUAAUAUAUAAUAUAGAAUAUAUAGAAUAGUAUAGAUAAUACCUUAUAUAUACCUAAUUAAAGUGAAAAUCAACUGAGUGUCCAUUUAAAGACUCAUAAUUACAAAGAUGUCCUCCUAAAUUUGGAAAUAUCAAAAAUGCACUUCAAACUGUGUGAUGUUUUCUCUGUACUGAGGCUUUUGGCCUUAGACUUUGCUCGCAAAAUGAGUUCAAACAUACAUCGCAGAUGAAAGAAAUGAAUGAAAUGAACAUACGCUGAAAAAAAAGACACUCCCAAAUUCAGGAAAUAUGCAUGAACAAACAAAACGAAAAUUCAGGAAAUAUGCAUGAACAAACAAAACGAAAUAUACUCGACAUAUUAAAUGGUUUCAAUGGAAUAUACUCGACAUGUGCGACGAUCCAUUUUGUGAUGGAACAAUCGAAUGAAUCAAUAGCUUGUCUAUUGUAACACCAGUGGUAAGUUAAAAGGGAAAAGAAAAUUACAAAUAUGCUGCAGUAGUGUACAACAAAAUGGAACAACAUUGAAGAAUUUGAAGAAUCGAAUUUUGUUUAAAAAAAAACUACAAUAGAAUGGUGCGAAUAAUAAUACAAUGAUCAACUGUUUCUCUCAUCCAUCAGUGGUUGUAUUUCAGAGUGCAUACAGUCGUAGCAUCGUGGAACUGCGUGAGGAAAUGCCGCCUCCUGGGAAAUAAAUUUCUUAAAUCAGAAAGGUUUGCUCUGCUUGUUGUCUCUCUUAAGUUGUACCUUCAAUUUUUUACCGCCUAAUUGGGAUCCAUUCAUUACGUUGAUCGCCGCCUGGGCGGCAGUGGGAGAAUCAUAACUUACAAAACCUGGAUGCAGAUGAAGACAAAAUGACUAAAAAUUCAGCAUCAGAGAGAGAGAGAGAGAGAGAGAGAGAAAGAGAGAGACGUUUACCGAAGCAUUUACUAAUUCCGGUGGCUUUGUCUACGAAAACUUUAGCGCUCAAAACCCUACCAAACCCCUGAAAGGCGUCUGCGAGCUCUUGAUCACCAAAUUCUUGAGGGAUGUGAUAAAUAAAUAAAUUAGCUCCAGGAGGACCUAUAUCAGUUAAAGUUAAACAACCUAUCAGAGAGGACGACCAACAAGAUUUGUGCUGUCACUAUUGAUAUCCAGGCAAAAAUUGUGAAACUUCAGAAACACCCUUUUGUAUAGGCUGAUUUCAUUUUAAUGACCCGCGGUUCAAAAAUGAACAUUUUGCCACCCUUUGGUUUGCUAUUUCCUUUCAAUCACAAAGGGCUCAACUGUUAAAACUAGUCACCUGACAAUCACAUGACUCGACUAUCAACAAGGUUCACUUAGAUUGAGGCCUAGUUUGGUAAUGUGGUGAUUAAAAGCACUAUUUUUAUACUUUGGAAAGUCCAAAAAUUUCAAAAGCGCUUUUAAUCUUUUCUUCUCGUACACUAUAAAAUUGUGGUUGUAACCACAUGCUUCUCUCGCAACAGUUGCAACUGCAAUUUCAAGGCAUUGGAGAAGGAAAGAUAUAAGCAUUUUUGGAUCUUCCAUAACAGGGAAUCAAGUGCCGCCUGUGCCGUACGACACGGGGGCGUGUCUUGGGGGCACGGCACAGAAAGGGUCUCAGAUCCCCCCCCCCCCUCUGUCUUGCGACACGCACAUGCGUACCGCUCGAGACAAAGCGGCACACAGGUGCAUGCUGGCGGCACGUACGGUGCGUGCCGCCCUUUUUUUUUUCCUUUUUGGAUUUUUUUUUUGGCUUUUUCUUUUUUUCUUGGGAAAACUUCAAAUACCCCCCUUGUGGUUUCACUUUUUCUCACUUUAGUACCAUGUGGUUUAAAGUGUAUCAAGUUAGUACCCUGUGGUUUUGCACUUUUUCACUUUAGUACCCUGUGGUUUAAAGUGUAUCAAGUUAGUACCCUGUGGUUUCGCACUUUAUCACUUUAGUACUCUGUGGUUUCGCACUUUAUCACUUUAGUAUACUGUGGUUUUAAAACCACAAGGUACUAACUUGAUACAAAAAUAAAAUCACAGGGUACUAACUUGAUACAAAAAUAAAACCACAGAGUACUAACUUGAUACACUUUAAAGCACAGGGUACUAAAGUGAUAAAGUGAGAAACUACAUGGUACUAACUUGAUACACUUUAAANCCGGAUAGCCGGGCUCGGGCAUCCGGCAUCGGGUGGUAACUGUAGGCUCCCCCCACGCUCCCCGAAGUGGGGGGCGCCAUACCUAGCCUAUAUAAUUAAUUUUUAAACAGGAUAUAACUAUUUGUUUUUUUUAAUUUAAUAUUGAAAAACUGAACGGAUUGUUUAUCUAAAAGCUAAACGUUACAGAAACCGAGCCCUCCACUUCCACCACAGAUAUCUAUUUUUUCCUUCACAAAAAUAUUUUGUCAAAAUUUAUCGCACCGCGAAACUUUCGGUGAAUUAGGGGAACAAAAAUCAAUCUCCUAAACAAAUUUUGAUCAGAUAUUUUUAAAAAGAAUAAAAGAACAAAAAAUAUAGAUGUAAUGUCGGGAAUAUAUAACUUUUUCACAAUAUCAGCAAUACUUAUAUCAACAUUGUCAAAUAAAUCUUAUAUCUGCAGAUGACAAUAUGCCAUAUGAUCAAGCGCGGUGAUCUAUGUAGAAUUAAACAUUCAUCUCUAUAUAAAGAUGUAAAUUUAAAUAAUUAUUGUACUUGUGAAUUUUAUUAUUAUAUUUUAAUUUCUAUUGUACAUUAGGAAUAGUUGUACUUUACUUACAAAAAGUUUACAUGCAUGUUAAUUGAUGAGUAAAGUAAGGGAUACAUAGUAAAUAUUUAUAAUUAUUUAUUUAAAUCUUUCAAAAUAACAUUAUAAAAGUUUAUUAGAACCAAAAAAAUUGAAAUAAGUCCGUGUCAAAGCGUGCCAGUAGGAGGUCAUGCGUAUCUAUAGGCACGCAAGCAUGCCACGUGUCGACAAACAAGAGUGCCUGCGCCAUACCGUGCCAGGUAGGGGUGUAAACGAGCCAAACAUGAACGAGCUGGGCCCGGCUCGUGUUCGCUCCAUUUAAUAAACCAGCCAAACACGAGCUGUCUCGGUUAAAGUGUCGAGCCGAAAAUUCAACUCUGCUGUUCGGCUCGUUAAUAAACGAGCCGAACACGAGCUGGCCAACGAACAAUAAUAUUAAAAAGAAUUAGAUUGAAUAUAUAUAAAAAAUAAAAUUUAUAAAAUUUUAUCAUUAGACUUUAAUCUAAUAGUUGAAACUUUACAUAUAAAUAAGUCUUUUUAUAAUUAAGCUCACAUUUAUAUUUUUAUUUGCUAAAAAUUAAAUAAUAAAAUAUAUAUUAUAUAAAAUAAUAUUUAUUUAUAUAUAAAAAUAUAAAUUAAAUAAAUUAUAUAAAUAUAAAUAUAUGUAUUCGAGCUGUUAUCGCAGCUGAACACGAGCUGAAUUUUUCAGCUCGUUUAAUAAACGAGUCGAACACGAGCUGAAUUUUUCAGCUCGUUUAAUAAACGAGCCGAACACGAGCUGGCUCGCGAACAGCGAGCUGGAUUGCCACCCCUAGUGCCAGGGACAUAACGGCAUGCCCCCGUGCCACGGCACUCUAAACCUUGUUCCAUAGUAUAAAAAUAAUACUUUUAGCCACCACAUUACCAAACUAGGCCUAAGAAUUUAAAUCCCUAUUUGCUAAGUGAUUUAAUUAGUCACUGUACUCACUUUCAAAGGUAUUUGAAUGACAGAGACCUUAGGAGAAAUCAAAACAACCAAUAGAUGUGCUGGAAAAGAGCUAUAUUGUGAUGCCCCACUUCCCAGGAGGUCACCCCUCCUAAACUACUCUAGCCCUAGCACGCUUAAUCUUCUUAAUCUCUUGGACUUAGCUAUCGCCCAAAAUGCUAUAGCCGGGUUAAGAGGUUUAGUCGUAUUUUACCCUAUAUAUAGGACUAUUGUAGAUUCUAAGGGUGUCACAUUCCUCCCCCCUUGCGUUCUCGUCAGGCUCAAGCACACUUACAAGCAUUAGGUGAUACGAGACUUGUCUAACUAGGCUUAACCGACCUUGUGGGGAGCCGCACUCCACCCACAACGGUUAUCAGUCGAGGAGGCGUGCUCUACCCGUUGAGUAACCCUGGCUCAGUUGAGAGUCAUUUCACACUUUUGGCUGGUGAUUAGCUCAGUGACGCCCUACUUCCUAAGGGAGUCACCCAUCCUAAAAUGACUCUAACCCUAGCAUACUUAACCCUCUUAACCUUUUGGACUUAGCUAUCGUUCCAAAAUGCUACAGCCAGGUUAAGAGGUUUAGUUCUAGUAUACUCUAUAUAUAAGACUAUUCCAAAUCUUAAGGGUGCCACAUACACUUUGAACCAAUGGGUGAAAACAAAGUGAAGCCAAGCUACCAUACAUGUGAGAUUUUAAUUUUAAUUUCUUAUUUUUAACUAAAGAACAACCAAAAUAAGCAACAAUCAACCUUCUAUUUGACCACCCGAGCUCGUACUGGCGCUUGAGGCUGAUGCUGAAUUAGCAUUCAUGCUUACAGUUUUGUCUGAACUGUGGGAAUCACCCAAAGAUCUAUUAUUAAUAAAACCACCUGGAUAGGAUACAGGGUAUUGACCUGGCAUAGCAGGAUAUGGUGAGCCUGUAUAUCCAGCAGACUGAAUAGAAGCAUAAGUUCUAGGAAGUGUGCCUGGGGAAAGCUCAGGACUGAGCCCACGCAGAGAGUUUCCUUGAUUAACGGGCGGAACCAUGUUGUGAUAGGCAGCUUGAUUUUGCAUUGAAGCUAAAGGGUACUGCAUAAGCCCGUAAGUUCCAUUUGGCUGGAAGAUCAGCACAAUCGUUAGAAAGUGGAAAAUCAGCACAAUCGGUAGAAAGGUACAACUAUCAACAUGAAAAGUGAAGAAUUAUAGGUGGAUUUUGAUUCAUACAAGGACUACCUGAUGGUAUUUGAAAAGAAAAUUCAGAGCCUGUAACAAGCAACAUCAGCAAUAGGCAUGCGUAACAAAUCUCUAAGCACAUACUUCAGGGUUGCAAUGAUUUUUCAAAAUUAGAUUUUAAUUUGGGUUAAACUACAAACUCUCCCUCUGCAUUUUCAACUGCUUCAAUUCCAACCUUGCCUUUUACUUGUCUUAAAAGGGCCCAAAAAUUUGGGUGAUUUUUUAAUUCCAAUGCAAACUUACACGAAAGGAGCUGGCUAAGAGGCAAAUACUCCAGUUGGGAAGCAGAUCUGUCUCUUAACAUCCGCAAGUCUUUACUGUAAUGAUGUUACUAUGGAACCUAAUAGCUAUGUGCUUCACUUUCCGACCUAACAAAUCAUACGCUAGGCAUCAUGACAGACCCAAGUCAAAUUCAAUAAAAGAAAUUCAUCAUAUAGUGCAUAACAACUAUUUUGUGUUGCUUUGGUUUUAGCAUUUGAAAAUUGAAACUAAGCAGUUAUAACUAGCAUAGGAAAGAGAGCCAACCUGAUAACCGAACCCAUUAUAUGAAGGCAUGUAUCCCAUUGGUAAAGCUCCAAAUAGUGAAGGCUGCUGCAUGGAAUUCGCGUUUGUAAUAUUAGAGGUCUGAGAUUGAGCUUUUUGUGCCCUUCGUGCUUGCCUUUCCUUUUCCGUGUCAGCCCAUUUAACAACCAAAGGCACACUCGAACCCUGAACAGAUGACGGGUUGAAAUAUGUGUACAAAAUUCACGCAAUUAAUAAAAUUGAGCAACCACAAUUUAAAGCAGGCUGUAUAUUACUCGGCAUAAGCUAUAAUGUAACAUAAAUCAAGCUAAUAUCUAAGAGACUCAAAUAGUUUAAAUAAAGUUUCAUGGAACAGAUAUAUUAAUUGUGCAGAUCCUCAGGAUCAAAUCAGCCUCGUGGGACCAUCGACCACAUGAUGUAUUUCCUACAGGAAGGCAAUGUCUACUAAUUCCUAUAGGCAUAAUAAUGUACAAAAAGCCACAAAAUUGCAAUACUUGUCCCUAUCAACUCUAAUUGGAGGCAUUCGUCCUCGAUUCAUGAGUAAAUGGAUGCAUUACACAGAUGUCAUGGUUCAGCACAGCAUAAAUAGAAAGUGACACAACAGCUACCAUCUGUAUCUACAAGAAAUUAGAUGAUUCUUAUUCUGCAUAUUCCUGGCCACUGUCAUACAACUGUGCUUCUCUUUUAUGAUUAUUCCACAUUUGACUAAACCAAGAUUUCGGUCAAAUGAUUAAAUCAGUAAUUAUCAAGUCCUUUUCCUACAGGUAGAGAACAAGAAAUUUGAGGUUAAUUGGAAAAAUUCAUAAAUUUGUACUCCUGGCCGAAUAAUCUAAAUUUAUGUUUUGAAGAAGUGGUUCUAAAAUAUGGACAGAAGUCAGACAAGAGUUACUGCCUACGUAAACUAGAAGACUGUUUAAGUAAGCAAUUCACCUCCGCAGCAAAAAUUUGGCUCAUGCAGCCGAGGAGCAAUUCUACAGUCCCUGUAGGCAUAAGAAAGAUUGUAGAAGAAGAAAGGAAAGAUGAUAGUGCUUCAUCACAGAGUUUCCUUCCUAAAGAGUUACCGAUUAUCAGUUCAUGCUUUAGAUAUUUCUUCUAAGUUUCGAUGAUAGUGACAUCAUAUUUGGCUCAAGCAAAUCUGUUAUUCCAAAUUCUACACAACAACUCAAACCAUUUCAACUACCAUUCUAAUUUUAAAUUUUAUAUUGCUCGUAAACAUUUUUCAAAUGAACAGGAAUUUCAUGGAUAGGAACAACAUUUAUGAGGGAAUUGGUUGUGUCUGGAGAAAUGAUGUUCAAGAUCCCCCAGAACUUUGUUACCUUAUAUAAAUGUACUUGCUAAAAAAAAUUAGUAGGUAUAAGGAAUUUGGAAUAAGAAGCAUGCUGAGGUAUCCCUUUUAUAAGAUUUGCUUCAACUUCUUUGUUGAUUCUACUUUCAGAAUCUUCUCUAAAUCAAGUAUCAAUUCAAUCAAUUUAAGUACCUCACAUGUUACCUCUACAGUGCCAUUGGUAUAAUAUGAGUCAGACACUCGUAAAUGUUAUCCUAAACAAAAUCUCCUAACCCUAGUUUCGCAAUACAUGGGUUUGAUCACUUCUAUAAGACCGAUAAGCAAGUGAAACUCAUCAUUCAAUGUUCCCAUGAUAAUGCAUAGGGGCUCCAGCUACAUAUAUAAAUGUGAUCAAAGAGGCUCUAUGAAAACUUAAAAUCUAUGAAUAAAUAUUCUCCAUAGUAGGAAUUAGAGUUCGACUUCGACAUAAAAAUGACCAUAACAAGGAAAUCUAAUGUGAUGGCUUGUUGACACAGCUUACUGUUAUUUCUAAGGGGUGAUUUUUCUCAUAUUCGUAAUGUGCGUCUCAUUUGCAACUAGCUGUGACUUUGUCAAGUAGAUAGCUAGCAGUUUGGUCUACUUACAAGUAGAGCUCGAUCGAUUUCCACAUACUUGGUUUAUCCUUUAUCAAUCAUUUUCUUGAUCAAGAUGUCAACUAACUCCCCGAGUUCUUCAUACAAACAAAAACAAUCUCAGUUUAAAUUUAUGAUCAUGCAUACGUAACCUAUACAUGCAUUUACUUGUAGAAAAUUAGGAGCCCAGACGACGUAAAACUCACAAUUUCCUGAACUGGUCACAUUAAGUGCACGCUAGUGACAGACCAACAAGCCAUACUAGGAAAGAGUAAAAAGGACCACUUAUGUAGCUAUGCAUGUUGGGCAACACCUUAACCAUCUAAUCCAACCAAAAUAGCCAUCUGGCACCAUGAUUAUGUGCCAGUAAUGUAAGCACUACUGGUAAAGAAAAAGAUGUAAACCAACAUAUGCGUCCUGAGUAGUUGUCAUUAACUUCGUCUGAUUAGGAAAAAAAUCUCUUGAAAAAAUGGAGUACAAUUGUUCCACAUUAAGAGCUUAUAUGGUUCACCUAUUUUAGACUAUGGAAUCGAAAUGAGAUUCAUCGAUUUCAAAUAUUAUUGUUUGUUCUACAGGAAUUGGAUCCUAAUUCCCAUUCCACUCUAAAAUAGGAAUGGCCCAAUCUGGUUUUGAAUUCCAGAUUAACCCAUUCCAGAGUAAACAAAUCAAAGCCCUCUCUAACAAACACCUCCCCCUCCUCUCCCUUCAUUAUUUUCCUUUCCCUUAACCAAAACUCUCGUUCAAAAUCCUAGGUAUCCCAAUUUUCCAUUCCGAUUUUUAUUCCGAUAAUGAUUGAUUCGUACCAUUUUCCAUUCCAAUGCAAUUUAAGUGGAAAACUAAAUCUCAUUUGAAUAUAUGAGACCUACACGCAAGUAAUAAUAAUUGGGUUUAAGCAUUUUAGGCCGGUGGUUUGAGCCCAACGACUUAUUGUUGCUAGCGAGUCGGAUCGUUACAUUAGUAUCAAAGAUGAAUACCAGCUGGAAGUGUGAGAGCUAAGUGCUAUGCGGAGCAAAGUGCUACAUCAAUGGAUUUGGUGGGAGUCAUCUCUUGAACCCGUGGGAGCCACCUCUAGAAUCUCACAUAGCCUGGUAAUUCUGAUAUGCAUCUGUGAUCUAAUUUGGACCCGACGAGGAUGUCAGGGUCUAAAUAGGGAAAGUUUUUAACCCCCCAACACUCCCACAUCGGUGGAAAACUUAAUCUCAUUUAAAUAUAUGAGGCCUACACGCUAGUAAUAAUAAAAGGGCUUAAGCAUUUUGGGCUGGUGGUUUGGACCCGACGAGUUAUUGUUGCUAGCGGGUCGGGUCGUUGCACCCUAAAUAUUGUCAAUAUCACCAGAGAAAUUCUAGAGUUGAGAAGAAACAAACCUCCAUUCUAUAUUUCCCAUUUAAAGACUCGAUGGCUGCCAAAGCUUGUUCUUUAGUUUCAUACUUCAAAAAGGCACAUCCAGCUGUAUCAAAAAUAACAAAAGAAACAAUUGCUACAUAAAAUUGGAAAAACUGAUCCACGUUGGCGUAGACAAGCAAGUUAAAUUUUCAUGUGAAUUUACCAGGUCAAUACUAUGCUUAGGAGGAAAGUAUACCUUUGUUUGCUUGGUGUGAACCUUUAAGUAUUUGCAAGUCUUUAAUGCUACCAUAUGUUGAAAAUAAAGCAGAAACUUCGUCCUCAGUUAUGUUCUUUGGAAGCAUACCAAUGAAAAGCUUGUGUUCUGUAUUAGAAGAUGAAGCGAAUCAGAGAUGUACGACAAAAGCCAUACCUGAAAAGGUGUGUAAUUUCUGAACAAAAAGAAAGCAUAAAAGUACGCAACCAAGAAUAAUGUCGUGUUGUUAGAAAAUGACAAGAUUCUAUAAAUCUGAAUAAAUCAUACCUAAUCUUUCUAGCUCGCCAUCUGCAUACUUCACUUGCAACGGACUGGAUGCCUGAGUGGAGCAUAUUAGAACAACCUUCAAUCAUGACUACAGAGCACGUCAAAGCCUAAUGCAGAGAUCUACCUUCAUAUGUUACAGCUUACAAUAACAUAGGGUUCAACGACGAAUCCGAGACCUAUCACAAUGGCAUAGGGUGCAGCAAGGCACAUGCCCACCCAGGUCCACUUCUUGCUAUGCCCAUGCUAUUUAUUAAUUAAUUUGUAUGAUCGAAGAGCCUUGCUCCUCAUGCAAACACACCUUCUCUCACUUGACAAAAGUUAAGAUACAAGCUUUCGUGACAUAAUUUUUUGAGUUUCAACAACAACAAAAUCGAAGCAAAGUUGGCUUUUGUGAUGUCAAUGGUAGCAUAAUUUAACAGGAUCGAAAUUACGCACUAAGCAUAGAAAUAUGAGCUCGCAAGGGAAUACAUAGUAUAUAAAACAAUCAUUCUUAGUAAAAUCAUUUCCAGAAGCUAAUUUCUCUACUCACAGAGAAGCAGCCCCAAAAUAUACUAGAAAAUUAAUAAUUCCAUCCUUUCCCUAUUCGGACGAUACAGAGACAAUGCACUGUCACAAUCACGGCGACUAAUUACGACCGCAUCCAACAUUUUUCCGGAGAUCCCGGCUGAGACAGUUUUAGGUUAUCACUCUCAUAGACAUAUUUAAAACCAUUUCUGGGAGCGAAUUAUUCGUUUACUCCGAUUCCAUUGAACUAGUGAUCGAUUGCACUUGAGAAGUGUUCAUUCACUGUUUCCUCCUCCUCCUAAUUCCGAUUUUCUCUAAAAAAGACGAAAUCCGAUGCUAAUUCUACGCCAUUUUGACCAAACCCUUGCGGCGAGAUCUCGGAGAAGUCGCACCGAUCCCGCAUUACAGAACAGAGGAAAAGGAGAUGCAGAUCUAAGCGAAACCAAGAUGAAUACGUACCCCGGGCAGCGUGCGCUUGUUGUGGUAGGAGUUCACUGCCUUGUCGGCCUCGGCCCGCGAGGGGCAGAUCAAGAAGCAGCACCCUGCGGAAGCAAUGGCGUAAAACCAUUCCCAGCAUUUUGCGGGAUCGGCAUGAGGGAUCGAGAGAGGGGGAGAGAGAGAGAGAGAGAGAGAGAGAGAGAGAGAGAGAGAGAGAGAGAGAGAGAGAGAGAGAGAGAGAGAGAGAGAGAGAGAGAGAGAGAGAGAGAGAGAGAGAGAGAGAGAGAGAGAGAGAGAGAGAGAGAGAGAGAGAGAGAGAAGGAGACCUCGGGAGGUUUUGGUGGCCUUGUCCUUGAUGAUGUUGACCUCGUCGACGAGCGCCACCUCCUCGAACAUGGCGAGGAGCUGCGGCUCCGUCAUGUGCUUCGGCACCUGCCCCACGAACAGCUUCACGCUCUCCCUCCCCCUCUCGUUAACGGCGCUGUUUUAGAUUUCUUUUUUUAUUCUCUCUCUCUUCUUCUUCUUCUUCUUCUUCUUCUUCUUGUAGCUGGUCGUGUUUGUUUUUGGUUAAUUAUAACAGGCAAUUAAUUGUUUUGUUUUUGGUGAACGUUUAUAAAUUGAGAGCCCCUCAACUAUAAGUUAUUUUGAAGUAGGCCUCUAAGAUAGUUUGAAAUAGGCCCCUGAACUCUUUUUGUUUUCCUAGACAAAAAAAUAGAAUUUUUUUAAUAAAUAAUCCUACCGAUUUGUAUAAUUAUAAAAAUAAAUUUUUUUAAAAAAUUAUUAUAAAAAUAGAUCUCUAAUAUAUCAAAUUGAGUUUUUUAAAAAAUAAAUAAUAUAGGCCGUGAAUGAGUCAUCAUAUUUAAAUGCGGUGAAUCAUUCAUCGCUUUCAUAACCUCUCCUAUUAUUGUUAUAGAGACAUAAAAUAGAAUAAAAGAGAAAUUGAAAGAAAGCUUUUAUAGGACCGUAAAAUUUUAAUAAAUAUGUUAAAUUAUUCACCGCUUUUACUAAUAUUUUUUUCUCUCUUUAUCAUAAAACUAUAUUUACAAAUAAAAAUUUAGUAGGUCUAAUUUUAAAAAAAAAAUUUGGAAAAAGACUACUCCACUAAAAUCUCCCAAAAAUAUAUAUAUAUAACUUAUCUGUACUUUUAAUCAUUUUGAGUCGGCUAUUUAGAGCCUUUUCAAAGUUUUGCUUUUUAAUCCAAAAUUUUUCAAUUUAUUUAAUUUGAGUAGGCCAUCAAUACUUGGGCUUUGAAAUUUAAGCUUAUUACUUUAAUAAAUUUAUAGUUGUAAGAAUCGAAUGAAGUAUACUAUUUAAAUAUGUACAAAUAAACAACGAAUUAAAAAUUUAAAAUCAAAGUGUCGUUGAUCGACUCAAAUUCAGUAUAUUACAGGGAACUUCCUUCCCUUGAUUCCACCAAAUUUUCUAGAAAUUCGUCAAAAAUUUUACUCUUAUUCACACGCAACCUAACCAGCUCAAAAUGCAGUGGUAUAUAGGGAUAAAAAAUAGGAUACAAAUUAGGAUCAAUUAAACAUUUGAAGUCAAACUAUAAGGUAGGUGACAUUUUGGUCAUCAAACUUUAAUUUGUUGUAAUUUCUAUCUCGAACUUUCAGAAUUAUUAUAACUAAAUAUUAUAACCUUAUUUAGUUGACUAAAUAUUAAUAUAUUGCUAACGUAAAAAUGGUGUAGUAGUGUUUUGAUUGAUGAUGUAUCAAUAAUUAAGUUGACAGAUCGCUUUUACAUUAGUGAUGUAUUAAUAUUUAAUCAACUAAAUUAGGUUGUGGGACUUGAUUGUACCAGUUAUAAAAAUUUGAGAUAAAAAUUACAAUAAAUUAUAAUUUAAGGACUAAAAUAGCACGUUCCUUAUUGUUUGAGGACCAAACAUGUAAUUUACCCUAAAAAUUAAUUCACCCAAAAUUUGACUCCAAUUGACAUUGAACUUUUCAUGAAAUUUUAUUCAGAUUAUUACUGAGAUUUAAUUUAUUUCAAUUAAGUCAGUAAAUUUUAAUUUUAUUUUAAUAUUUAGCAAGCUUCAUUAAACUUUUUUGUAAUUUUUCAUACAAAAUGGUAAAGUAGUAGGCAAUUUCGGUAUAACAUCAUAUUCUAAAUUAUUUUUCAAGUUUUGAUUUAUUUUCACUUGUAAAAAAUUCAUAUUACUAGUAUAUAAAAUUGAGCUAGAAUGAUAUCGGUAGCAAACGGACUCCGUUGCCACCCAUUUGUUUUCGAUGAUGGAGCUUUCAAAUCGACGAUCGGCACCAUUGAACAUGAUCUAUAUCACUUGAAGUAUCUAGAAAUCAAAUUUUAAAUCUUUUCGACAUUAUUUACCUAAUGAUCAAAGAGUUUCAAAAUUAGUAAUUUUAACGAUNCCUGGCGCGUGAUUUGUUUUUUUUUCUAGAUUUUGUUUGUUUGUUUGAUAUUUUUUUACAUUUAACCUCUCUUCAAAAAAUUUAAUUUUGACUUUUUUUCAGAUUUUUUUUUUGACAUUUCGUUUAAUUUUUCAGAUUUUUUUUGUUUGGUUUUCCAGAUCGAGCUUCGCCGCACGCCCCCGUCGCUCCCUGGCGCCGCCCCCCGCACGCCCACGUCGCUCCCUGGUGUGUGCACUUAAACGAGGUAUGAUUUUUUUUUUUUUGUUAUUGCAACUAAAAAAUAGAUCUACAACUUUAGAUUUGUUUAUUUGAUUGGUUUGAUUUGUUUUUUUCCAGAUUUUGUUUGUUUGUUUGAUUUUUUUUACAUUUAAUCUCUCAUAGAAAAAUUUAAUUUUGACUUUUUUUCAGAUUUUUUUUUUGACAUUUCGUUUGAUUUUUUAGAUUUUGUUUGUUUGGUUCUUAUAUUUAUAGUUAUAGCUUCUUAUAGUUAGCUUUUUAAAGUUAUAGUUUUGAAGGCAUUUUUUUUUAAUUUGAUCUCUCAGAAAGAAAAUUCUGAAAAAUACUAGCAGGAAAGGCUUUUUUUAAAAAAAACUGACAGUUAUUAUUUUUAAAAAAUUUGAUUAUUCGUUGUAGUAGUCUUAUUUUAUUUAGAUCUAUUCACUUUCUCUAACAAUUUUCUCUGAACCAAAUCCUGCUAAUUGCAUCUUUUUGUGUUGAAAAUGAAUAGAAAAAUCCUGCUUAUCUGAAAAAGUCAUGCAGUGGAUCCACACACACACGCACACACACACAAAAAUGCUAGUGUUUAGUUUUGAUUUAGAAAAAUCUGAAGGCAUUUUUUUGUGUGUGGAUCAUUCUAUUCACUUUCAAUACAAAUCUCUUAUAGUUGAUUCUCUUUUGUCUUAGUUCUUGUAAUUUAUUUUUUCUCAUUGAAUGUAUUAUAGUUGAUUCUCUUUUAUAUUGUUUGAGCUUUGUUUGAGAAUAUUAAUUUUAGUUUGAGAAUGUUAACUUUAGUUAUUUUUAUAGGAGUUAGUUGAACGAUGGAACAUGGCUCUAUAAUUGGUUCCUCAGUUUCAAUGUCUAAUCUUGAUGUUAGAGAUGAGGUGAAUGAGGAAAUUGGAAAAAUAGUUGCUAACGAUCAUACAUCGAAUGUGAGCAAAUACCCCGUCGAUGAGAUACGUGUUGGUUUAGAAUUCACUUGUAUAGAGGAUGCAAAAAAGUUUUAUAAUGAUUAUGCUUUUAAAAUGGGAUUUAGUAUAAGAAAGCAAACUCAUUAUAAGGCAAGAAAACAGGAUGAUGCCAUCACAUCUAUAACCUAUUGUUGCUCCAAAGCCGGUAAUUCUAAACCUACAUCUCAAGAGAAGAGUGAACAGCAAAAUUCUCAAGGUACCCAUACACCCCAAAAGGAUUUUCCCAACAGACGAACUAAUUGUAAAGCGCAUAUUGUAUUGAAAAUAGAUGAUCGAGGGAAGUGGGUGAUAACGGUGUUUGCUAACGAACAUAAUCAUGAGUUGAUAGCUAGUCCCUCUAAAACUCGUUUUUUUCGAUCACAUCGUAACAUCACAAAGGAGCAAAAAGAUUUGAUUCAUAUGUUAAAUGAACAAAAUAUCUCUGCUUCACAAAUUAUGUCGUUUUUGGAAGUGAAAGAAGGAGGAAGACAUAAUACUCAGUUCAUUCGCAAGGAUUUGAGUAACGAGGUUGUCGAAAAGAAUAGAAAACUUAUUGGAAUAGAUGUGGCAAGUGCUCUUAAUUACUUUCGUAAGCUCCAAAGAAAGGACCCCUUAUUUUUUUAUGCUGUUGAUGUUGACGACCAAGAAAGAGCACGGAAUAUAUUUUGGGUAGAUGGAAGAUCUAGGAUGGCAUAUGAGCACUUUGGUGAUGUUAUCACUUUCGACACAACUUAUAUGACGAACAAUUAUAGUAUACCAUUUACUCCCUUUAUAGGGGUUAAUCAUCAUUUUCAGUCAAUUUUUUUUGGGUGUGCUCUUAUUAGGGAUGAGACUGCUAAUACAUUUUGUUGGUUGUUUGAAACAUGGAUAAAGGCCAUGUAUGGUAAACACCCGAAAGCUAUUAUUACUGACCAAGAUCCUGCUAUGAAGAAAGCUAUUGAGAUAGUCUUUCCAACUACUGUUCAUAGGUGUUGUCAAUGGCAUGUUAUGAGAAAAGCAAAAGAACAUUUCAAUGUGUUAUAUAGCUCCAAAGAUGGCUUUGAAAAUAAUUUAAAGGAAUGCAUAAAUAAUAGCUUAACUAUGGAGGAAUUUGAGAAUGCAUGGGCAAUAAUGCUUGAUAAGUAUCAAUUGCAUGAAAAUAACCACCUUCGAUUGUUAUGGAAUAUUCGGCAUCAAUGGGUUCCCGUGUAUUUUCGUGAUACUUUUUUUGCGAAUAUGUCCACUUCACAGCGUAGUGAAAGUAUGAAUGCUGUAGCAAAAAUAUGGUUGGAUUCACAUACAUCAAUAUUUAAAUUUGUCACUCAGUUUGAAAAAAUGUCAAACAACCAAUAUGAGCGAGAAGACAUGGAGGAUUUUAUGACAAAGGAUGAAGAGCCUACUUUAUGGUCAGAUGAUCCAAUUGAGAAAGAUGCACGGUCCAUAUAUACAAGGACAAUUUUUUCAGAAUUUAAGGCUCAACUAAGGGCUACAACAGGUUAUAAGUUGGUUGAAUUAGAAAAAGACAAGUUGUACAAGAUUAGUUCGAUUUCACAACCUUCGACGUCAAGACAACGAAUGUGCACAUAUACUAUCACAGUUGUAAGGUCCGAAGAUAUAGUAUCUUGUACUUGUAAGUUGUUUGAAUUUUACGGUCUCCUAUGUGCUCAUGCACUUAAAGUGAUGCAUCAUAUUGAAGUGUAUAGUAUCCCUCCUAGGUAUGUUAUAAAAAGGUGGAUUAAGAAUGCCAAAAAAGGAACAUCCACUAAUUCUCUAGAAAUGAGUGAUGGGUCCUUAUUUUGUCGGUCUUGAAGAUUUGAUUCACUUGCAUUGGAGGCACAAAAAUUUAUCUUUGAAGGAUCUAAAAGUCUUAAGGCAUAUGAAAAUGCAUGUCGAAUAAUUAGAGAAGGAGUGGAUGUGCUAACAUCAAUUAAUCAAAUAAUAAAAAUUGAGGAAGGAAGAAAUGAGGAGACUUCAAAUGAUCUUCGUAGGACCCUAAUUUCACAAUCAAGUCUUAACCAAUGCACGAUUAAAGAUCCCCCUCACUCACAAUGUAAAGGACGAAGAAGACCCCAAAGGAUUAAGCCACCCGUCGAAAAGAAAGCAAGGAUGUCAAGAACUUGCAAGCAAUGUGGUAAAAAGGAACACAAUAUUAGGACAUGCAAAGAGGUAAAAUAAAUUUUUAUUUUUAGUUUCAAUACCAUAAUAGUUUUUUUGUUACCUUUGUCAAAUUUUUCUACCUUUACUAUAUCACAUCAUGUUAACAAACAUAGUAUUUUGUAGGUUGUUGAUAGAGCAUUGUCUAUUGAAGAAAAUUCUAGUGAGAGUUUUCAAGCAACCGAUGAAGAGUCUUGAAAGCAUAAUAGAAGAUUAUAUGAAGAAAGAGAUUUUGUAUUGUAGAAGGUUUGUUUGUGCAUGUAUGUUUUGGAUUAUUAUGUAUGAUCAUAUUGUCAUUUCUUAUUUGGUGGCAUACAUUGUAACUUUUGUACUAGAGAAGUUUUGUUUGUGCAUGUAUGUUAUGGAUUAUUGUGCCUGGCCUUUCUUGAUUUUUUGGAAGGUAUUACUUUGUGCUCAUCAUCUUUAUUUAGCAUUUGAAUAAGUUUGCAAUAUCCGUUUUUGUGAGGGGAAUUAAUGUGGUAUGACUACAUCUGCAUUAUCUUUUUCUUUGCUCUCUCACUGUGUUUGAUGGGUGUAUUGGUAUACACUUAUGUGUGUACAAAUAUCUAACUUAAUAUGCUGGGUGCUCAUCAUCUUUAUUUAGCAUUUGAAUAAGUUUGCAAUAUCCAUUUUUGUGAGGGGCAUUAAUGUGGUAUGACUACAUGAACAUUAUCUUUUUCUUUGCUCUCUCACUCUAUGUAUGAUGGGUGUAUUGGUAUACACGUGUAUACAAAUAUCUAACUUAAUAUGCUGGGUGCAAUAGCUCUUAGUGGUAAUAUUGUGCCUGUUGAGAUCCAUGACAAUUAAAACAAAGUGGUAAACUAAUGAAAAGCAUGCGGUCAUUAGAGGUCAAUACUACAUAUUGAAAUAGCAACAUACAUUUUUUUCAUACAAUUUUUUGGCUUUCUAAGAGAAUAAAAUUUUAACACACAAAAUUGCUAAAAUAAAUACAAUAAAUAUCUUUCUUUCUAUCUCGAUUCUUUCCGUCAAUGUAGCUGUCCUUGUAGAAACUUCCGCAACUUUAGUUUUCAAGUCCUCUAUUUGCUCAGACAAAUUAGAGAGGUUGUAAUUUAUAGUUUGAAGUAUCUUUUCAUUUGUUUGUUUUGGAGAACUUGCUGCUGAUUCAAACGCCGAACUUUCCUUCAACUGUGAGAGAUUUGAACUCCCCCCUUCCAAAUGUUCUUUGAAUAUCAUUGAUUUCUUAUCACACCACAUGAAAAAGUCACAAUAAUUUUCAUUAUUCUUUCCAUAUUUGCGACAACCGUAAAACUGUCUUCCUUUACUUCUAGCUUGUUGUGAAGAUCGAAUCAUGGCUAUCUCGUUACAUUUGCACAAAAUUAGCCCAUCUUCCGGAGAACUUGCCAUCAAUAACCUACAACAAAUGGAAAACUUAUCACAAUUAUAAUUAAACUAUUUAUUUGAUUCAGCAUUUUUUUUUUGUGUGUGUGUGGAUCAUGCAUGAUUUUUUCAGAUUAGCAGGAUUUUUCUAUUCACUUUCAACACAAAAAGAUGCAAUUAGCAGGAUUUGGUUCAGAGAAAAUUAUUAGAGAAAGUGAAUAGAUCUAAAUAAAAUAGACUAUUACAAUGAGUAAUCAAAUAUAUCAAUAUCAAAACUUCCGUAAAAAAAAAUUAAACUAGAGAGUCUUUCUUUUAAGACUUUUUAUGAUCGUCCUUUCCGAAAAAAAUUUUUUUUUGACUCUCAAUAAUAAAAAUUUUUNNNNNNNNNNNNNNNNNNNNNNNNNNNNNNNNNNNNNNNNNNNNNNNNNNNNNNNNNNNNNNNNAGAGUUGAGCUGGAAUGCUAUCGGUAGCAAACGGGCUCCGUUGCCACCCAUUUGUUUUCGAUGAUGGAGCUUUCAAAUCGACGAUCGGCACCGUUGAACAUGAUCUAUAUCACUUGAAGUAUCUAGAAAUCAAAUUUUAAAUCUUUUCGACAUCAUUUACCUAAUGAUCAAAGGGUUUCAAAAUUACUAAUUUUAAUGAUUGAUAUGAGGGUUUUUCUCGUUUAACGGUGUAAAGCUAUCUAAAUCAAUUGAAUUUUGGUUAGAAAAUUUUUUUAAACUAUUUAGAACAAGAUCUAUACUCUCGAUCAUGAUUACAAAAUUUCUAUCAUAACUUUUUAGAGGAUAUUCAUUUUCAGCCAUUUAUUUUUACGCCCACUUGAUGGACAAGAAAACAAUAUCGGAAAAGUAUGAAAUUUGAUUUCUAGAUAUUUCAAGUGGUAUAGAUCAUUUUCAAUGGUGCCGAUCGUCGAUUUGGAGGCUCCAUCAUAGAAAAUAAAUGCGUGGCAAUGAAGCCCGUUUGCUACCGAUAGUAUUCCAGCUCAACUCUAUAUAUAUAUAUAUAUAUAUAUUACACUAAAGCAGUGUCCUUACAACGAUAUUAUGCUGGCGUAAUUUUGAAUUAAGAAAUUAUUUGGUUUAGAUUAUUUAUUUUAGCGUAAAAUUUAAUGUGCCCCCCUUUGGUUUUCUAUAUUUUUAUUUUGCCAUAUUAUGGUUCAAAAAAUUAACUUAAAUAAUUUAAAUAUUUUAUAAUUUUAUUUUUUAAUUUUACUAUAAGGUCCUAUUGUUAAAUAAGAUAACAAAAUGAUAUUUUUUGUAGAUCAUAGAAUGAUACUGUACGUAUUACAGAAUGAUAAAAAUAUUAUAUUGUACUUUUUUGUGGUUUGCAAAAAAUAUUAAUAUAUAUAGAGAGAGAGAGUAGAGAGCUACUAUGUAAUCAGAAAUAUAGAAAAUCUAAUAUUUCUGACCUUUUGACAUUUAGAUGAUCAUUUCUAAUCUUUGGAUUAGUAUUAUUAUUUUAUAGGGACCACUUAACUCUAAAAGACUACUCAACCCUAAGGAGAUCGCAAUCAUUCCAACCGUACAAUUCUUGAUCCAAGGACCAAAAAGUCGGAAGUACCAAGUCCUCUAUACUUCCGAUAGCAUUGUAGCUCUACACCUUAAUUACUACAAUGCUAUCGGAAGUAUAAAGGAUCUGAUGUUUCUAACUUUUUGAUCCUUAAAUCAAGAAUUGUAUGGUUAGAAUAAUUGCGGUCUCUCAGAGAGUUGAAUGGUCCCCCAAGGGGUGGGUGAUUUCUAUAAAAUAAUAAUAUUAAUCUAAAUGAUAGAGAUGAUCUAAGAACUAAAAAGUCAAAAGUACGGUCUUUUAUGAUUCCGAUAGCAUAGUAGCUCUAUUCGUAAUCUAUUUACUAAAUACUAAAGUAAAACCCUUGGUGAAUCCUUGGUGUAAAACUGACACGUAGUUUUCUAUACGCUUGCCAUGUGUCAAGUUCAAAUAUAGAUUUUCUACUUUAGGGAAAUAAAAUUAGAUUUUUUUUUUAGGAAAUAAUGAUUAGGAAAUAAUAUGCUUUCCAUAUGCUUUCAAUAGUAAAUAGAUUUUUUUAGAAAAUAAUAAUUAGGGUAUCAAUACUAAUAACUUUUAUUAUUCUAUAUUAUUAUUAAUUAGGAAAUAAAAUUAAUAUAUUAUUAUUAACUUUUAUUAUACCAAUUAAAUAUAAUUAAAUAUAAUUAAAUCAAAUUAAAUAAAAUUAAUUCAUGUUAAUUCAAAUUAAGUCAAAUUAGAUUUUUUUAGGAAAUAAUAAUUAGAAAAUAAAAUGCUUUCUAUAUGCUUUCUAUAGUAAAUAGAUUUUUUUUAGGAAAUAAUACUUAGGGUAUCAAUACUAAUAACUUUUAUUAUUCUAUAUUAUUAUUAAUUAGGAAAUAAAUUAAUAUAUUAUUAUUAACUUUUAUUAUACUAAUUAAAUAUAAUUAAAUAUAAUUAAAUCAAAUUAAAUAAAAUUAAUUCAAAUUAAAUAAAGUGAGCGGUUUAUUUUUCUUCAUGUUAUUUCAAAAUUUACAAUUUUGCAAUAAUUCAACUCUGUCAUUUUAUUUUUUAAAUAAAUUUAGAUUCUUUUAUGAAAAAAUUCACUAAUAUUAUGAUAUUUAUCAUUUCACUUAUCUAACAAUUUAUCUAUAUUAUUAUUGGAGUAGGUACUUUCCAUCUUCAUGCAAUAAAAUUUUUUUUCUUUAUAUUUUCUUGAAGAUCAACAUCUAUAUAUUUUUGAAUCUUGGAAGUUGGUAUGUCUCUCAUAUAAUGUACUUACUAUAAUUUGUGUCAAAUAUGAAAGUUUAGUUGAUCUCAUGCUUAAAUAUUAAUGUUAUUUGUAAUUUUUCAUAUCAAUUUUAGUUAUCAUUUUGUUUUGCACAUCAAUAUAUUAAUAUAAAUUGUUUUGCACACCAAUUCAUAGAUAAUAGAGCAUUGUUGAAUUUUGCAUUUUACUUGAGUAUUUACUUUGGUCCAAAAAUUUUUUUCUCUAGCUUUUGUACUUUAAUAUGUACUAUAAUUAAGAUUGAUAGUAUAUUUUUUAUUUGUUAAAAAAAAUAUAAUAUUAAUUAGAAUAUUUUUAUUUUAUCAACCCAUAAUAACUUUUAUUAUUCUAUAUUAUUUUAUUAGCCGUGCAUCGCACGGGUCAAAUAUCUAUCGACUUUUUAGGGUAUCAAUACUAUAAUUAAGAUUAAUAGUAUAUUUCUUUAUUUGUUAAAAAAUAUAAUAUUAAUUAGAAUAUUUUUCUCUUAUUAUUACAUAAUAACUUUUGUUAUUUUAUAUUAUUAUAUUAGCCGUACAUCGCACGGGUCAAAAACUAGUUAAGUAUAAUAUUUUAAACCACG